GAAAGAUUCUGCCGCCCUGAUGAAGAGCCGUAGUAUUACGACCGGGACAUUCACGGCCAGUAGUGACAUGUUAAAGUCUGAUAAUGUUUUCUCCGAGAUCAUGAAUCCCACCGGCAGGUGAGGAUUGUAAUCAACAGAUUAAACCUCCAAAAAUGGACGUGGGAUAUUCAUGUCUCGGGAGUCUAGCGUGCUUUGUCCUUGUGCUAUUUUUUUUUUUUUGUCUGUAUUGGGCAACCUAUUUGUAAUGCCAAGAUAGUAUAUUUUCGGAAAUGUAAUAUUAAUUAAGAAAAGUAAAUAAAUAUUGGGAGUGUUUUUGAAAAUGUAAAAUCAAUUUAAAAAAGUAAAUAAAUACGAUAGAAGGUUAGUAAGAUAGAUGGGAAAAGUAUUAAAAUGCAAGGGAAGGUGAUAAUUCAUGCCUUAGGAGUCCAGCGUGCUAUGUCCUUGUGCAUUUUUUUUUUUUUUUUGUAUUGUGCAACCAUUAAGAUAUAUUUGUGGUGUUAAAAUAUAUUUUUGAAAAUGUAAAAUUAAUUAAGGAAAGUAUAUAAAUAUGAGGGAGCAUUUUUGGAGAUGUAUGAUUAAUUAUGAAGAGUAAAUAAAUACAAGAAAUGAUUGGUAAGAUUAGAUGGGAAAAAUAUUAAAUGCAAGGGAAAGUAAUAACUAUUAGUAUGUGUAUACAUGAUAGGUUAGAUGAAUUUUAAAUAUCUUAAUAAAAUAAAAGUACCUAAUGGAUAUGGGUACCCAUUUAAAAAAACCCUUUCUUAAAUAUUUUUUCUUGCGAAGUCAAUAAGUAUAAUAUGGCGCGGUUUUCAAUAACCAAUAUGACUCUAGUCAAAGGUGCAACUUUUCAGACACGGUCCAUUCAACUGAUCAUCGAUGUAAAGAUAAUUCAAUUACUCAUUACUAUAUUGGUUAUAGUUGUCAUACACGCGAUAAACAACCAACCUUUCCUUACUUUUUUCGAUAGUCAAGGUACGACCGUUAACUAUUUCUCUAAUUAAGAAAUAACCUAGAUACGAUCAUAUGAUUUAAAUCCUCAAUUGCAUUAAAAAUUAGAAAAACUCAACCCUAACUAACAAACGCGCUACGAGAGUUUGUUUAACUUAGAUCAUACGCUUUCCUGACAUGAAACCAAUCACGCUAGUCGCCACUGGUAUUAAUCAAUAGAACAAUUACGGAUUCAAUCAAUUAAUAUGACAGUAGAUUAUUAGGUUAAUUCGAAUAUCGGACCUUUGACAUUCAAAUAACAAAACAAUCAUAAGGAAUUAAACCAGAAAACGUACAAAUACCAAUGAAUAAAAGAAAUAAGUAAAAUAAUUCGAUCUCACAGAUAUUUGGAACCGCGUCUUCAAAUUAACCCUUGAUUAAAAAAAGGAGUUCGUUCAUCUUCAUGGAGAAAAUCUCAUGCAAAAUUGCAGAAGUAAUUAUCGAAAACAAAGCUCUGUUCCAGUCGUUCUAAUAGAAGAGACGGAAAAUAAGAAAACAAAGAAACGGCAAAACGAAGCCAGCCCACUAGAAUGAAAAUUGUCCUAGUUAAAAACAAUGGAGUUUGUUUGGAUAAGAGUUUAUUUGGAUAAUUUAUUUGAAAUAAUUACUGUAGCAUUUUUUGUGAUGUGAUAUAUAUUAGAUAAAAAGGUGAUUAAAAUUUGUGAAGUAAAUUUUUUUAUUUGAAAUCAAAGCAAUCCAAACAAACUCUAUAAUGACUAACUCCUUUUCCCUAUGUGGUCCCUAUCGGAUAAGGAAAAAGCCAAACAAAAAGGUUCCAGCACUACCGAAGUUCCCUUGUAUUUCGUUUCCUAUUGCUAGUAGACUAACUAGUACAAGGCAACUCUUCAUCAGCAAAAGGGGAUGAAGUCCGUUUCUUAGCACCAUGUGGGCCCGAUUUGUGGAGCUUUUAGAAGCCUCCCACGUGUGGAGCCUUUUACCUCAAGAUGGUAUCUCUUUUUUGUACCUUUCUGCUCCACUUCCUGAAAUUGAGUCUAAAUACCAAAUAUAAAUAUAUGUUAAUAAUUAAAGCAAUAUUUGACAAGGACAAAGGGGGAAAUUAACAAUAAAAUUACUAACAAUUAACACCCUAUCAACAAGAAGGGGUGCGAAAGAGAGACUAGACAAAAUUUUAAGCAACAAGGAAUAGAGAGCAAAACAAAGGAAAGCUAAGUGUAACCAUAUCCAAAAUGAAGCCUUAGAUCAUUGUAUGUUAUCACUUGACACAAAACCAAGAGAAAGGGAAUGGCAGAAAAAGUUUUAUUUUGAUAGAAAGUGGCUUCAACAAAAGGAAGUUGAAGGUGUAAUCAAAAUAGUAUGGAACAAGUAGCAAUUGGGAUCUAGAUUCUUUAAACUCCAACAUAGAAUUAAAGAGUGCAGAAUUGACUUGCUUAAUUGGAAUAGGACAUUGAACAUGAUGCUAAAAAGGAGAUCUAGGAUUUAAAGUUGCAGAUUAAUGACAUGCAAAAUGGAAGGUUUCAAAAUAGGAAAGCAAAAAUUUUUGAGCUGAAAAGAAAAUUAAUAGAAGCAUUCAAAAAAGAAGAGAUGUUUUGGGAACAACAUGCAAGAAUUAAUUGGUUAAAAGAGGGGGAUAAAAAUACAAGCUACUUCCAUGCUGUAGUUUAAGGGAGAAGGAAAAGGAGUAAUAUUUCAACUCUCCAGAAGAAAGAUGGGAACUGAUGUGCUACUAAUAGCAAAAUUGAAGAGGAGAUUUCAAGUUAUUUCCAGAAGCUUCUCACUUCUAUCUAUCUAGGGCAAUUUGAUACAAUCUUACAAGGCAUUUCACCAUCAAUUACAAGUCAAAUGAACUCAAGGUUAACCAGACCUAUUUUUGAACUAGAGAUUAAAAAGGCAGUUUUCUCUUUACACCCUAAUAAGGCACUAGGGCCGGAUGGUAUGACUCCAAUCUUCUUUCAAAGGUUCUAGUAUAUUAUUAAGCAAGAUUUGAUUGCAGCUAUUAAUAGUUUCUUUCAUAGAGGUAAUCUCUAAAAAGUGUUCAUGAAAUAGCUAUUACUUUAAUUCCAAAGAUCCAGCCUCCCUUUUUGGUUUCACAAUUUAGACCAUAAGUCUCUGCAAUAUAGUGUACAUAAUCCUUUCUAAAAUCUUGUUAACAGAUUCAAACCUUUUUCUGAAACAUUGUACAAGUCUUAAUCAAUUUGCUUUUAUUCUAGGUAAACAAAUCAUUGACAAUGUAGUGAUUGCUCAUGAAUUUGUGCACUGUUUAAAUGGAAGAAGAACUGGAUCUUAUGCUUUCAUGGAUAUUAAACUAGACAUGUCUAAAGUUUAUAAUAGAGUUGAGUGGCUUUUUCUUGCCAAAAUUAUGAAAAAAAAUGGGCUUUGUCAAGUCUGGAUUCACUGGAUCAUGUCUUGUGUUACUUCUGUUAGUUAUAUUUUUAAUAUAAAUGGGGAGAAGAGAGGAUAUCUUAAGCCUAUUAGAGGAUUGAACAAGAGGAUUCUCUAUCCCCUUAUCUUUUUCUUUUAGUUUGUGAGGGCCUUUUUAGUCUAUUGAGAUCAUCCAAGAAUAACAAAAAAAAUUUCUAGAUUGAAAAUUGCUUCUGCUAGUCCUGCUUUGUCCCAUUUGUUUUUUUUUUUUUUUUUUUUUUUUUGCAGAUGAUACCAUAAUUUUCUGCAGAGCAACUAAAGAGGAGGCAAAAGAGGUGACACAGCUGCUUAAGGUGUAUGAAGAUGCUUUAGGUCAAAUCAUCAACACAGACAAAUUAUUUGUCCCUCUCAGUAGAAACACAAGGAAGACGGGAGAAAGAAAGUGCUGGAGACACUUGGGGCUAUGCAACAAGUCAAGCAAGGAAAGUAUUUUUAGGAGGCAAGUGUUCAACUAUAUUAAGGAUAAAGUUUUAAACAAACUGAAUGGCCAGAAAGAGAAAAUGCUUAGGGUCUGUUUAAUAACAUUAAAAAGUGCUGAAACUGAACUUUUUCAGACAUUCAGAUAUUUUGAAUGUUUGAUAAAUGAAAAUCCAUCUGCUGAACUUGUUAAGCAGUGCUGAAAUUGUGUGUAUUUUUUUCAGCACAAGAAUCCUAACUGAAUGCUUAAUUCUGAUAAGAAUUAAUAGAAUUAUUUCAACUACCUUAUCUUAUCUAUUAAAUCUACCAUUGUUUGUUAAUUAUAUUCAAAAUUCUUAUCUAAUUAAACAACCUAAUAUUUUCUAUCUAAGGGUUUUUUAUUUCUCUUUUCUCCCUUUUUAAUGAUUUUCACAUCUUCUCCAUACUCCUCAUAUAACAUAUUUCAUCUUUUAUAUUAAUUUGAUUUAAAAAUAAAUAUUUUCAUUUUUAUACCUAACAAUUUUAAGCUAAUUAAAUCAUAGGUUCUAUUUCUUUUUUGGAUGAAAAGAUAUAAGGGCAAAAUUAUCAAAUUUAACUUAUUAAGCAUUCAGUAAUAAAUGUUUUCAAACAGUAUAAAUAUGUUUAGUAUUAAAAUUCAGAUAUUUAUAUAUUUCUUUUUAGUACUUAAAAUUCAAUAAAUUAAUUAUUUCAGUAUUCAGAUUUUAGAAUUCAGACUUUAGAAUUUAAAUUCAGUUUUAUCAAACGGAACCUUACACAGGUAGGGAAGGAGCUCCUAAUGAAAUCAGUUAUUCUAGCCAUACCUACCUAUGCUAUGGCUUGUUGUAGACUUCCAAAAGGUCUAUGCAUCAAUGUUUUGAAAAUCGGACCAGAUCGGCCAGUUCGACCGGUUGAACCACGAACCGGCCAUGGCAACGGUCCGGUUCAAUGUCAUAGUUGACUUUGUCAGAAAAUCGGUCAAGAACCGGUCGAACCAUAAAAAUCGCGAUUGAACCGGUUUUCAACCUUCCUCUUAUUUUUUUUUAUUUUUUUUGUUGCAAAAUACAGCUAUCAAGAUUCGAACUCAAGACCUUUGUAAUAGAAGACCAAUAUAUUAACCGUUGCACCAUCACAUCUUAUUAGUUUUUUUUGAUAACUUAUUUAUAUAAAACAAACACUUAUAUUUUUUUUCCAUUUUUCUUACAAAAUCUUAUCCUCUCAUGGCUCUUUCUUUUUAAUUUUCAACUCUCUCUCUCUCUCUCUCUAUCCUCUUUUUUUUUUCACUCCCUUUUUAAUUAAACCUCUUUAUUUUUAAUUUAUUGAUGUUUUCUUCCAUCUUUUAAUUUGGUUUUUGUCCAUUAAAUUGAAAAAAGUUAAAAAAGAAUUAUUUUUUUAACCCAAAUUAUUUAAUGUUACAACCACUCACUUUUAUCUCAUUUUUUGUUUCUUAUCAAGUUUACAUUUCUAUUUUCGAUUUUCUUGACUUCCUUCGAAUUCCAAACUUUCUUUUUUAAAUUGCAAUCUCUAAAACGUAAAUUAAAAUUUAAGUUCACAAUAUCUAAAUUCUUAUAGACGUGAAUUUUGUAUAAUUUCAAAAUAUUGUGAUAUUUUUGGAUUGGAUUUAGACAUAAUUGAAAUCGAAAUGAAAUUUAUUUGUUUUAACUUAUAAUUUAAAAAAUUUAUUUUUAAAAAAUCCAAGUUAUUAAAAAAUAGUAAACCUUUCAUCAUAUAAAGUAUUAAAUUAAUCCAUUACAUGUCUUAUUUUGUACAUAUAUAUAUUUAUAUAAAUAAUUUUUAAAAAAAUUCAUUGAACCGAGGUUGAACCGAUCCGACCGGUUGAACCUCGACCCUUUCACUUCACCGGUUCAAUUAACGGUCCGGUUUUUAAAACAUUGCUAUGCAUAGAGCUAAACAAGGAAAUGACUAAGUACUAGUGGGGUGAACAUGAAGAGGAGAGGAAGAUUCACUGGAUAGGAUGGAAAUCCUUAGCUAAGGUCAAAGGGAAAGGGGAAUUGGGAUUUAGAGACUUGCAAAGCUUCAACAGUGCUAUGCUUGCCAACAACUGUGGAGGAUAUUAACAAAACCAAAUCUGCUGGUGAGCAAAAUUCUGAGAGACAAAUAUUUCAAAGAAGAAUCCCUUUGGACUGUGAAGAUAAAGAACAGUGAUUCUUGGAUAUAGAAAAGCAUCAGUAGUGCCAGGGACUUAUUGGAGAGAGCGGCUAGAAAAAGAGUAGGGGAUGGUAGAACCAUAAAUAUCUGGAAAGAUAGAUGGAUCCCAGACAGAGGGAAAGGGAAAGUAUCAACUGUUAGACCACCAAAUUAUGAAAUAAGAAGAGUGCAGGAAAUCAUUAAAGAUGGAUAAUGGAACAUGUCAAUGAUGAGAACUCUACUAAAUGAAAAAGACUGCAAGAGAAUUAGCAAGAUACCAAUUAGUAGCUAUGGGGGAAAAGACAAGGUGGUAUGGCCUUAUUCAUUAUCAGGGAAGUAUACAACAAAAACAGGCUAUGUAUUAGCUAAAGAGAUACAAUAGGAAAGAAGCAGAAAGGCUCAACCUGAUGAAGGAAGUAGCAGAAACGACCAAAAUACUAAUGUUUGGAAAUUUUUGUGGAGCUUGAAUAUAAAACAUAAAUUAAAACACUUUAUCUGGAAGUGGCUUUGCAGAAUGCUUCUAGUUAAUGAAGUAAUAAAGACAAGAAUUGGGAAAGGAGUGGAUACUUGUGCAUGCUGUGGAGAAGGGUCAGAAACUUUGGAGCACAUGUUAUUCUUUUGUAAACAUGCAGAAAUGAUUUGGAAGGCAACCCCAAUCAGUUCGGAUGGAUUAAACAUGUUCAGACAAAAUUUUUGGCUCUGUUGGAACAAUCUAAUGGAGACAAAGGCAAGAGAAGAUGGGGAUGGAACACAUUGCAUUGACAGUAGCCAUUUUAUGGUAGAUACGAAAAUCUAGAAACCACAUUCAGUUCAACAAGGAAAGAAAAUGUCCAGGAAUAAUGGCAAGCAAAGCAGUGCAAGAAUAACAAGAAUAAGAUGGGGAAACAGGAAAAGGUAAGGAGAAUUUUGAGGUUGAGGUCAAGUGGAAACCACCUACAAAUGGUUUCAUUAUGUUAAACACUAUUGCAACUUUGGGUAAGAAACAAGAGAAGGCUGGAUGGGGAAUUGUAACAAGGAAUGAACAUGGAGAAGUAGUAUGCCCCUGGGCUGGAAAUGAAAGCAAGGACAAUCAGGCUGAGAUUGAAGAAGCGGAUGCAAUCAAAACUACAUUGACAACGGCCAAAUAGGAAGGUUGGAGGAAGGUUAUAGUUCAAUCAGAUUGCAAAAAGGUGGUGGACAAGAUUGUAGAAAGUGGUAUACUUGAUCCUAUGAUAGGAACAAUAGUUGAGGACAUACUCAGUUUUAUACAAAGUUUUAGCAAAUGACAUCUUUCCUUUAUUAAGAGGGAAGGUAACAAUGUUAGUCAUCAUUUGGCAAAAUUUGCCAUAAACAUGGUUAACUAAGUCUGUUGAGGGAUUCUUUCCCUCUCUAGUUAAUCAACUUAGCUAAAAACGAUGUAGGAGCAAUUGCUCCAUCCUUGUAAUACUUUGUGUUUGAAAUACAAAGCUAGUCAUUUAGUAAAAAGAAAAAAAUAGUUAUCUUAAUUAAUUGAAAAAAUUAUGUCUAUAGUCAACAAUAGAACACUUUGAAAGACUGCAUACAACCUAGAUUCUUUGUUGCAGUCAGAGAAAGUAAAGGUCCAACCCCCAUUAAUAUACAAUGUGUUUUAGUCAUUUUUUAUUAAAAAAGAAAAAGAAACAGAAAGCCAUAUUGAAGGUGACAGAUUGUAAUAGUACUAGGAUAUGAAAGUUGGCAUUCAGCAACGUGCUUGCAUUAAGAAUAGGAUAAAUUACCUUUUACGCCGAUGGUUUGGUGGUUUACCACAUAACUUUCCCAUGAUUUAAAAAUUUAUAUAUGACCCUCGUAUAGUUUGGAUUAAUAUGUCACUCUUAGUUUUUCGUUCAAAUAAACAGCCAAUAAUAAAAAAUCAAAGUCAAACUAAUAUAAAGAUAAAUUUACCCCUUUAUAACUUCUUUUUUUUCUCUAAACAUAAAAAAGAAGAAAUUGAAAUAAAAAUAGAUAAAUAAAAACUAGAAAUAACCAUUAAAGAUUUGGUUUAAAAAUAUAUAAUGAUAUUUGUAGUGAAAAUAGGAUUUGAUAUUUUUUGUUUCCUAUUUAUUUGUUUUAUGUUCUCGUUCCAUCUUUUUUUUAUUCUUAUUUAUUUUUUAUUUCCCUUUCAUCUCUUUGGUAUUUGGAAAAAAUUAAGAUUUUGUAGGCUAAAGUAUUGGUUUUCAAAAUCAUCUAUUCUCUUCCAAAAAAAAAAAAAAAAGAGAGUGAGAGAAAGAAAAGGAAAAAAGGAAAAAAAUAGUGAAAGGAUGGAUUGUCAAUUUAUUAGUUGACUUUGAUAUUUUACUAUUAAUCAUUAGUUUUAACAAAAAAACUAGCAGUAACACUUUAACUUAAACUAUGAGAGGAUUAUAUAUAGAUUUUUUAAUCAUAAUAGGGUUACAUGGUAAAACACAACACCACACCACACAAUAGGGGAGGGGAUAAAAGGUAAUCUAUCCUUAAAUAUAUAGUAGUGACUAAGCAUAUAGAACAAGGAUACGACUCCACAGCCAGACUCAUGUAAUCUAAAAUUUUCGCCGGGAUAUUAGAAUUCACAUUCGCUUUCACACUUGGUAUUUAUGGUUACUGGGAUACCAGGAAAUAGCAGACAAUCCCUGCAUUGAUUCAUUUACUUGGUCUGACAUAUGCUCUAUUUAUAGGUUCAAAGAAUCUGCAAGGAGUUUGGUACUGCUUCAGGGGUCAGAAACAUGGAUAGACACAAUUAUGACACAAGAUUUUGAGUCUGGUUGCCAAAAUUUCACAAGAAAAGGUUCAUUUGGCAUCUGAUCUUUUAAAACCAGUCCAUGAGAUUUGCAUUAUAAACACAUAAUUCAGUAAUCUGUGAGAUACUGAGACAGCCUCCGAAUAAACCAAAAGCUGUGUCCACAAGAUGCUUAAUAGAAAAACAAAAUGCCAGAACAGGUCAAUCUAGUUCCAGGUAGCAUUACAUAGAAGAGUUUCGAACAGAAUUUGAUGCACUAAUAAUGACACAGUCUCAGCAGCCUCAGCAACCUGUUAGAACAUUGAACAAACAUCAUUAGAUACGUUGAAAUGAAAAAAGAUACACAAAAAAGAGAAGAAAAAUGUCACCACAAUAAAUAGUAGAACAACUAGAAACUGGUUUUCCACUUCUCAAUGCUGCUCUGCACAUAGUAUCACCACAACUCUACACAAUCUUCUUCCCGUUUUGAAUAAAGUAGGGCUCUCAACCACUAUCUCCAACAUAAAUCAGACCAGUAAAUCCAUUUUCCUUUUCCUGGUCCAAGAACUUCCACAAGAAAAAGACUUCAGGCCUCCAAAUGUGUAUUUAUAUGCUCUAUGGUGAACAAGUUCCUGCUACAUGACAAUUAAAGACGAAAUUUGCCAUCCUAAACGCAGCAAUUGUUUAACACCAAAACACAUGCAAUUUGCUGUAACAGAGUGGACAACUAUGUUAGUUCUUUAAUCAUCUAAAAUCAGGAUAAAGGGACACUUCUAAAGAGUUGGAUACUGGUACUUAGGUAUGAUGGACAUUCUAGGAAAUAUACAAAUUAUGUACAUCGAUUGUUGUUUACUUGUUAACGAACAGGGCCAUUUUGCCGUGGGAGCUUUUCAGAUUUCAUUUAUACAAGGGAAAUUCAGAAUUUUAGAUAGGUCUUCUGUCUCUCUAACAUGAAAGUCCUAAAGUUUUCCACUUCACUUCUCUCCUCCCCCUUCACCAUCAACAUCCACUGACAAAAAAGAAAGUACCCAAAAAAUUGUUGAAGUGCCCCAAAUGGAUCCCAUACCAGUACCAGUGUCAAGUUAUGUCGACACAGGCACACUGGGGUAAAACAAAAAGCUGGAGUAACAUAGGUGGAAGGGUGAUUUUCAGGUAGCUAAUCUGUUAGUGUCACCAGUUUGACAAGCAUGGUGCAGCUUAUACCCAUUAUGGCGACAAUGGCUUUCACCCUGACAAAAUUAUAAAUAACUCGAUGACCAUGUCUUGGAAAAUCUUUUGCAUUGCUUGGGCCUCCAAGAAAGAUAGAUGGUGAGAGUGAUAGCUGGAAAUUUCAAUCACAUAAUAAAGCUCACUUCUCUCUUCCUUUCUAUCUGGAUCGGAAGAAUCAAAUCCCUACGCCACGGAACUGGUCAUGAAAAAAUGAAUGUAUAUUAGGAACCACAUAUACCCCUCAUCUCAACACACAUGAUUUAUUUCUACAGCCAAGCCCCACAAAAACUUUGGUUUUAAGAGGACAGAAAGCAAACUCCUACAAAAAAAGGUUUCAAGAUUAUAAUCGUGUUUGAAGUUACUGAAGACAAGAGUGACGAAUCCAGCUAAAGCUUUUCUGAAUAAUGCCAUCAGCGAAACCUCUUCAAACAGGCUUGAGUAUCAUUCUUCAACGCAAUUAUAGCUACCAAACCAGUAACACGCCAACUUGCACUCACAGCAGUUUUGUUACCAGAAAGUAGCCAGUAGGGUUUCAGACUUCAAUAACAGUACAAGAGCUGCUAAAACACUAUGCAAUGAAAGUAGCUAAUAAGCAACUGUUAAGAAUUGAACUUUGUUCCAACCUCGAAAGGAAAAGAUAUCAGAAAUUAUACUAGUCAACAACUGUUAUUUGCCUUUAUCUCUCUCUGCCCCUAACUCAAGCAUACUUCCCAUUCAACUGAAGUUCAAACUCAAUAAAAGCCCAGAUUCCAAGGACUACAGCUUAUUGUUAAAUGUGAGUAUUAUCCUCGGCUAUCUUUUCUCUGGAAAAGCUGUUUAAUCAGAUUCUUUCCUAGCUGGGGAUACAACAAUGUAUCUCUACAUGCCCCUUGGAAGAGAACUUUUGGCUACAAACUUCAAUAGGCUACAACUGUUUUCAAGCUUAGAUCCACUACAUGGAUAAUUUCCUAUUUCUUUUUUUUUUUCAAGUCCUUUUGCCCAGUAUCAAGUGAAAAAUGAGGCUCAUAGAAGAAAUGAAAGCUGUAACUGGGCAAAUCUUGGUGGUAUUGACCAGAACCAACUACUAAAGCACCCCAAAUCUCAUGGUUUUUUGUUCAUGUGAGCAGUUGCACUUAUAGCCAGUUUGUCACAUAUCACAUAGUCUACUCACUUAAUAUGACUGAAAAAGCAGUGCUCUUAACAAAAAAGAAGUCAUCAAUUUAGCUUCAUGAGGUUUUGAUCGAUGCUUUGACAGAAUUUGGUAAACAUUCAGGUACAAAUGAAAAAACCUAAUAUACUGCAGGUGAACUAAGUUAUUAUCUAGUACAAAGGCACUACAUUUGCAAUCUUUUCCAUUACAACAGAAUGAUUAGCUUCAAUACUUCUGAGGUACAAAAUUAUCAAAAUUUGUUCAGUUGACAACAGAAAACUAAUCAGGCCAUUAUAGUUCGCACAUCUAGAAACAACUUUGGGAGUUAGACGUAAUAUCAAUGAACAUUCAAAGGUAGCAAAAAGCUAAUCACAGAUCCACACAAAGCAAAGGUUGCAAAAAGCUAAUCACAGAUCCACACAAGUUCAUAUACAUUGUCUCUAAAGUGGCACUAUUCUUUGCCUACCAACUGACCAAAGGUUGCAAAACUAUGGCAUCCUGCAGUUAACUUUAUGCCAAUUAUUUUGUGGUUUAGGAACUGUUUAACUUUAUCCAUUGAAUAGAACAGGAAUGCUCUCAGUUUUAAAAAAGGAUUACUUUGAUUCAGAUCUUCAGGGCAGCUAAAUUCUAAGACCAAUAGACCUACACAUGAUCAUCUUCAACUACGGACUCAUCUCCUAUAAACUAAAUCAUCUUGAACAAAACAUUUAACCGGUAAAAACUCUGAAAUAUCUAAUCUAAUCACCACAUGUUGCCCUUUAACCGAUAAUCAACGAACUUCUUGGCUGUCUCUUGACUAGGUCCCCCAUUGUGCAGAAUCCUUCAUUUCAACCAAAAAGAGGACCUUGAGCGUCCAACUUAUUUUGGGUGACAAAAACCAUGGGGAGCCUUUUGGCCCAUCCUCCUCCCCACUCUACUGCAGGACCCAACCUGAAUCUGAAAAACAGCCAGUACCCCAGGACAGCACUCUGAUGCAGAAUUCCAAACCUCAAAUUAUCAAAUAAAACCUACAACCUUAAACAGAAACCAAAGCUUCCCUGACAUAAGUGAGAAAAAUCCACAAGUGCAAGAGAUAAUAUUUCAUGCAUUAUGGAAUCAAUAUUUUCUUUCCAGUCAAAAUGUUUAACAGAGAACAGCUAUUGCUUCAUCCAUCAAAUGCAUAAUCAGUUCAAUGAACAUCCAACUCUGGUAAUAAGUCUAUUACUAUUAAGUUGAAAAAAAAUCAAAAUACUGAUGUGCUAAAUCACUCCAACCCCCUGUUUCCAUCAAAUGCUAAAUCAUUCCAACCAUUACCCAAAAGUUGAUAAUAAGUUCACCAAUAAACCAGAAAAAAAAAGGGGGAAAGAAAAGUAGAUCCUAAACAACCAGUCAAACACUUGAGCAAGCAUUAAGCCAUUUGCCAUUUGAAACACCAUACACGCUGCCUGACAAACCUCUUAGCUCAAAAAUAAAGAACUGCAAAAGAAAACCACUACUCAAAGCCUCAUCAAACUAAAACAUCUUAUAUCACCAACAGAAAAUUUAGCUAAUAGGCCAUACUGGAAUAAGAAGUGCAAAACAAAUUUGGAUUGCGGUUUAUUUGUCAAAAUAUAUUUGCUUACAUUAUCAUUACAAUUUCCAACACACCUUUUUAUCUUUCCAAUUACCUUUUUAUCUCACAUACAUCACAUCACAAAAAGUGCUACAGUAAAAAUAUCUCUAAUAAUUCACAAUCCAAACAAACCUAAACUUUCACAACUUUUGCGAAAAAAUCUACAAGCACAAUGUUGGAAAUAAUGCGUUCAACGCAUAUGAAUCUCAAUAUCCAGAGACAGACAUUGAAAGAAUCGAAGCACGCAAAGGAGAAUUACCAAGGCAAAUCAACAAAACUGAAGCAAAACUCCAACCAACAAAAGUGAGGUACAAAAGAAGGAUAUAAGCUUUAUCACAAAAGAACCACAUAAAUAAGCAAUGCAACACUCUUUAACAGAUACUGAAAUUCACUAAGAAACUCAUAAGCUUGAAUUAAACCACAUUCGAUUGAAGAAAAAUCCUUGAUUAAUAUUCCCUCUGUUCUAUUGACACUGUCAUAUUUUGCUUUUUAGGUUGUCCCAAAAUAUUUGUAACUUACAUAAAUUGGCUAACACAUUUGCAUUCAAUUCCUCCAUUUGCCGUUCAAACACUCCCUAAAAGUCCAAUGCAUGUGUCUUUUCAUGAGCCCACAGAUUAUCACCAACGAAACUAAGACUUCGUUUGAAGUACGCGCUAAUUGGCUUUAAGAAGCUAAAGCCAUUAAGUGUUCUGAUGCACGCGCUAGUUGGCAAUCAUAUCUGGGAUUGGACAAACAUCAUGGCUCCACAAUAAUUCUUUAUGUCUUAAUACAACACUUAAAGCUCUUCAUGGGGGUGAAACGAGAAACUACAGCAUCAAUUUUCAAAUUCUAUCCACUCUUCAUAAAAAUUACAGUUCCCGAAGUGCGAUAAAUUUUAUGGGAUGAAUACCAAAACUGUCAUUAAAUUGUCUAUCAUACGAGUCAUUAGCUCAUAAAUUGCAAGCACUUCAACCAAAAAUUACAUUUCUAUGCCAAAAACCCCAUUCAGAGAUAACCUUAAGCUGUCAAACAUAGAGAUUAUAAAUCCUAAAGACUGUCAAUUCAAAAAACUAAAGCAAACCCACUUAAUAAAACCUAUCCAACAGUCACCCAAGAAAAAAAAUUUUAUUUACCUUCCCUAAGAUUAAACCAAAUAAAACUUGAAACCCAGAAAAAUGUCAAAAAGCCUCCAAAAAAUCCCAGGAAAAUUAUCCAAAAUAGAAGUCAAAGAAAAAACUAAAAAAUAAUUACCUUUAGAUCAAGCAUUUGGCAGUUUGAGGAAUAGGCUGCGCCGCUGGGGAGCCGUGUUUUUGUUGGGCUUCGGCUUCCGGGAUCUUCUGCAUCCGUUCCAUGACAAGCUCGUACACUCUCUUCUUACCUGCUUGAUUGAUUAACAAAUUGAUAAGACCGAAACAAGUAAUCUAUGUGGAUAUGCCACUCAUAUUCUCUGCCUGAUCAAUUAUACAUGUAAACAAAAUUCACGGCUUGAGGUAAAGCAAAAAUAGUCGGCCUUGUUUGGAUUCCCAUUUCUUCCCAAAAAAUUUUACACUUUGCGAUAAUGCAUCUUUCAAUCACUUUUUUUACCUCAUAUCAUAUCGUUACAAUAUUUUUUUAACAGAAACUCCAGAAAAUAGUAUCCAGACGGGCUAUUUGCGAUCUCAAAAGCAGCAGUCAAAAUGACUGCUGCACUGCCCGACUCACAUCGGUUGAGCUGAAGGAACUACAAUUACACAGUCAAAAUGACUGAAGCUCUAAUAGAAAGGCCGCCAGAGUUGCUCCAAAUUAACCGGUCCAUAUCCGCUGCUAGUACAGCAAUGAUACUGAAAGAUGAAGUUGCAAUCUUGCUGCUGCUGCUAGUCUUCUCAUUGAAAUUAAUGUCUUAGUAUCCACAGAAUUUUCUCAAGUACCCCACAGCUUUCUCUUCACAGACUCGACCACAAUUACCAUGGUCCCCCCAGCUCUCUAUUGGACUCUUUUCUCAUGGCAGCCGGCUGCCAACCAGGGUGAUAGACUGAUAAACCCAAGAAUCUUUUUCUAUUUUGCUAACUUCCAAGAAAUAAUUUCAAGCAGAAAUUUGUCCCUUUCCUUACCUGCCUCCAAAAGAAAUUAUAGAAAUUACUCUUUGGAGUAUGGGAGUAUAGUAUAGUUUGAAUCAGUCUAAAGACUUGACUUUUCCGACUUGGCAAGUCCACGCAGGAGUUUACAGUGACGGAGCCAUCCUCACUUCAUUUUCCAAGGACCAAUAAUUCCUCCCACCUCAUCCUGCAAAUCCUAAGCUUUAAACCGAUCAUCUCCAUCGAUGUAGGAGUAAUCUGUGUGUUUUGGGGUACCCUCUUAAUUUUGCUCCAAUGUUUACUCUUCUUGUGUACCUUUCCUUUCUCUUCAAUCUCUUGUUCAUCAUCACUUCCAGCGAUACUCCACCUUACAGCCCCACAGAUUACAUCCUGAUCAACUGCGGAUCAUCCUCAAACGCAACCUCAGCCGAUGGCCGGAACUGGUACGGCGACGCCGGCUCAAAAUUCUCCCCUAACGACAUGGCGACUAUUUCUUCAGCUGUCACAGCCACCGAGCAAGACUCUUCGGUCUCCGGAGCCCCUUAUUUAACUGCCCGUAUCAUUCGUUCUAAUUUCUCCUAUACCUUCCCUGUCUCCCCCGGAAAAAAGUUCGUCCGCCUUUACUUCUACCCGGCGUCCUACUCCAGCGACUUCAACGCAACUGAAUCUUUCUUCGCUGUCAUGGCUAAUAACUACACCCUUCUGAGCAACUUUAGCGCAUUUUUAACAGUUUCUUUCGGUGGAUCCUCAUCUGCCUCCCUUGUUAAAGAAUUCAUCAUUAAUGUUCAGGCUAUGAACCAAUUCCUCAACGUUACCUUUUCGCCCUCUCCGAAGUCCUACGCGUUCAUUAAUGGAAUUGAAGUUGUUUCAACCCCGGACGGACUCUACAUGGGCAACCAUGAUAUGUCCAGUAAUCCCCUCAAAAACGUGAAUGAUCCCAACAUUCAGUUCGAGCUUGAUCAGAACGACACCGCCUUCGAAGCUCUUUACAGGCUUAACGUCGGAGGUAAAGAUGUUUCUGCAUUAGCUGAUAGUGGGAUGUUCCGAGGAUGGGUUCCCGAUGACAACUUCAUCUGGGGCGCAGAUCAAGGGAAUCCAUUGAGCAAUAAUCAAAUUGCUGUCAAGUACACUCCGCAAACCCCAAAUUACACUGCGCCAGCGAUAGUUUAUACUACCGCAAGGGCGAUGGGCGAGCUUAGCACCCGAUUCAACUUGAGCUGGAUGUUUUAUGUUGAUUCUGGGUUUGAUUAUCUCCUGAGGUUGCAUUUUUGCGAGAUUACCCCUGAUUUGAUUUCACAAGAGAACGAACGGGUGUUCAGGAUAUUCAUCAGUAACAAAACAGCUGAGCGAGAGAUUGAUAUUAUAACUUGGACCGGCGGCCCCGGAAUCCCGGUUUUCAGAGACUACGUCGUGUUCGUUCCACACCCACCGGAUGGUCGCCCGAGCAAGCAAGGCUUGUUUCUUGCUCUGUACCCAAAUCUCGACUUCAAGACGAAGUAUGCUGAUGCAAUCUUGAAUGGUUUGGAAUUGUUCAAAUUGAGCAACAGCGGCAGUCUUGCCGGGACCAAUCCUGAUCAGGCGGCGGAUCCCAAUUCCCCGAUGCCAAACAGCAAGUCACCGAAAAAGGGGAGAGGUGUAAAAUCUCCGGUACUUUUUCCUAUCGUGGGAGGGGUGGUCGGAGGGUCUGCCUUGGUUUUCAUCAUCGGUUUCUUGAUUUCCCGGCGGCUAAGGAGACGGGUAAAAGAUUUUGACCAGAAAAGUGCUUCAAAGUCAUCCGGGGUCCAACUUUCAACCAGGUCCAGGUCAUCAAAGACAACAAGUGCAUCGAGGUCUUCGUCACUGCCGCUAGAUCUUUGCCGAAGAUUUUCCCUGGAGGAGAUCAUCUUUGCUACGGCCAACUUCGAUGCUAAGUUUGUGAUCGGAACCGGAGGAUUCGGAAACGUGUACAAAGGGUACAUUGACAAUAGUCUAAUCACAGUUGCUAUUAAGCGAUUAAAUCCUUCGUCAAGUCAAGGGGUCCGCGAAUUUCGAACCGAGAUCGAGAUGCUGUCGAAUCUAAGGCAUCUUCAUCUGGUAUCCCUGAUAGGUUACUGUGACGAGAAGGGAGAGAUGAUCUUGGUUUAUGAUUACAUGGCCAAUGGCACCCUUCGCGACCACCUCUACAAAACAGAUAAUCCACCCCUCCCUUGGAAGCAACGGCUUCAGAUUUGCAUCGGCGCAGCCAGAGGGUUGCAUUAUCUCCACACCGGCGCCAAGCACAACAUCAUCCACCGGGACGUCAAGUCAACCAACAUAUUGCUGGACGAGAAAUGGGUGGCUAAGGUUUCGGAUUUCGGUCUGUCCAAGCUAGGCCCCAGCGGUGGAAUCCACAGCCAUGUCAGCACGCAGGUGAGGGGGAGUUUCGGCUACGUAGAUCCCGAGUAUUACAAGAGACAGCAGUUGACGGAGAAGUCGGACGUGUACUCGUUCGGGGUGGUUUUGCUCGAAGUGCUGUGUGGGCGGGGAGCCAUUAUUCGCAACUUGCCCAAGGAGCAGGUGAAUUUGGCGGGGUGGGGCAAGAGGAAUUACGCAAAAGGGAUCAUCCACCAAACUGUAGACCCUCACAUGAAGGGCGAGAUUGCUCCUGAGUGUUUGAGGAGCUUUGCUGAAACGGCGAUCAACUGUUUGAAAGAUCAGGGGAUUGAACGACCCGGAAUGAAUGAUGUAGUCUGGAGCCUCGAAUUCGCGUUGCAGCUUCAGGAGGCGGCUGAAAAUGAGAGGCUAAUUGAUUAGAAUAUAGGUGUAAAAAAAAAAAGUCAAACGACACUUACGGAUCUGACAGAGCAUGUAUAAAAUUAUGGGUAUCGGGCUGUCUGAUAGAGCCCAUGUAUAAAACUAUGGAUAUCGGACUGAGACAGCCCGGCACCCGACAGAAACCCUUUUUUUUUUAAAACAUGUUAGUUUCAGCCCGGCAUUUGACACAUUUUUUUUGAAAAAAGAUGUCAAGUGUCGGGCUACACCUGACAUUCAAUUGAGUGAAUUGCAAUUCACUUUAUUUGUUAAGUUAGUUGAUAAAUGCAAUUCACUUUAAUUAGUUUAGUGGAUUAAUUAGUUUAAUUAAUUGAGUGAAGUAAUUUUAAGAGAUUCGAUUAACUGCAUUUAAUUAAGGUGAUGGUUUUAUUUGUUACUAGGUAUUCUGCCCUGACGCUAUGCGUCAGGUAGGUUGGAUCCGGUAUUUUAUUAUAACGAGUAUGAGUUUGAAAAAUUGGAGGGCGGAAAGAAUUAUUCAAUCGAACUUUAACGUCAAGUAUGUCUUGAAACUCACUGCAACAUCAAACAACAAAGAUCCAGUACAGAGGAGGGGAAAAAAGGAUAGCCCUCCAUCAUAAUAAAAGAACAAAGCCAUAAUUUUGUUCAAGGAAAGAGACCUUGGAUCUGCCCAGAAAGAAGUUUUAUCCAACUCAGGAACUAUAAGCGUCACAUUCAAAUGUCUGGCAAUUGCGACCAUGUCAUGUAUCUGUACCCCAAUAACAUGGAGGAAAAGUAUAGGUUAUCAAAAAUUGCUGUCAUAAGCCAGUUCAAACAUGCAAGCCACAUUAUUAAGAAUCUACUAAUCGCCGCCUGCAUUUGGUUAAGGCCUCCGUUGCAUGAAACCAUUAGAUAACCAUUGUUCUUGUAAACUCCUACAUCAAAAGGUGCAAAUUUCAAAUCUGAUUGUAGGUGGGGGAAAAUAGUAGUCAAAAUACCCAAUACAAUUCCAACAAGGGACAAAUUAAUGAUCCAUGCUUAUUCCAAAUAAAACAAACAACACAUUUAUGAUUAACCGCUGCAAAUAGAGAAUGCAGCAAAAUCCACUGAUGCAGUAAAACAACCUAAGAGGUUUGUUAUACCAAUUACUUCAUUUCAAAACAAAACAAAAGAUCAACAACCACCGCAAACUCUCAAUUCUGCAAGUGCUUGGAGCAACCAAAUCUCUCAGGAACUUGCCGCAUGCUUCUCAACUUUUCAAUAAUCAACCAGCAGUCCAAGUCAGUCGUUUCAUCCAUCGGUGUGUGAAAUUAAACCCCACUUUCCUAAAUUCAAAGACCCUUAGAUUCUACAUUAUAAAGCACCCUGAACACCACAAAUACACCCACCUCAUAUCCACUAUCCUUUCCGCUUACAUUCACCAAAAUAUGAGCUUCUACUUCCCAUCUUUUAAAGCGAUCAACAUCAACCAUCAAAACAGCAAAUUCAUUACAGCGCCCAAAAAUAAAAAUCAAAGAGCAAAAACAGAAUCAAUCAAGUAGUAAUACUCAUUCUUGGGAGGAAGAACUCGAGCAGGGACAUCUUCAGGGGCAGAUUUAACAUCCAAAGCGGAAGCAGAACCAGUAACAGAAUCCUGAGAAAAGCAAGAUGGCCAUCCCUUCAAAAUUCUAGGACCAAAACUUUCACCCAAUGCCGUUAACUAAACCAAGCAAUUCCACAACAUCACAGAUGUAGUAGCCCUUAUCAUCCAUAGCUUCAUUUCGACCGUGAAACCAUGGAAUUUUUAAACUUCUCUACUCUACUAUGUUGAAUAAUAUUUCCACCUUUCAACCCCAUCACCCCACCUAAUCCUAACCCUAACCCUAGCCCCCUUAAACCCCAGUUCUUCCUCCUCCUCCAAACACUCUCCUCACUCUUCUCUUUCUCUAUUCUGCACAUAUCCCCCAUACAUCAAAAUUCCCCGCCUCUCCUUUUCUUCAAAAAAAUCAACAACUUCUCAUUAAAUUCUGCAGAAACUAUUACGUUUAAUCUAUGAAUGAAAAAAAAUCCCUGAUCUUAAUUUACAAUCUAAUAGAAAAUUCAAUAGGAAAACAAGGGAAGGAAAAAACACCGCCCGGAGAAAGCUAAGAAGAAGAAUGAGGAACGGGAAAGACACAGCUGGUAAACAAGGCGAAGAAAAGAACGAGAAGAAACAAGACCGACAAAAGAAUAGGAAAAAGUAGCAGCUCCCAAAACCCUGAAAGGGCGCGUACUGGAUUCAGCUCAACUCACCAGAACAGAACGAAGAACGCUAAGAACAGAACAGAACAGAACAGAACGAAGAAGAGAAUGAGAGGAAAUUGCUGACCGUCAAAAUGUUGCCAUCGAAGAGAGCCACGCGGACAGAAGUGAAUUUCCAGCAAAGCCAUUGCCAUCCAAUCCCAAAAUGCCCCUCAAAGUCACAACAAUCGCAGUAUAACCGGUCCAUUGUCCACUGUUCAUAGGCUAUUCAUGCUUUAUAUAUGUAUAUGUAGUAAGAUUUAUUAAAUAUUCAUUUAUUUGUUAUAAAUGAUUUAAUUAUUUAAUUAUAAUGCAUUAUUUGUUGUUAUUUGUUAUUAUUUGUUGUUAUUUAAUUACACUUUAUUUGUUGUUAUUUGUUAUACUAUUUGUUAUUAUUCGUUGUUAUUUAAUUACACUUUAGUUGUUGUUAUUUGUUACUCCCUCCCUUUUUUUAUAACUGACGUUUAAGGUUUUGCACACCAAUUAAGAAAAGUUUUUCAUUGUUUAAAUCUAUACACUACUUUCCUUUUGUACCCUCAUUAAUUGUCCAAUUCACUCAUGUUUUCUCUCACUAGAGUAUUAAAUGGUGCUGUUUUACUAGACCAAAAGCAAUGCAAACUAACUCCCACCAAUUAUGAAAAGAGAGAUAAAAGGGUAAAAUUGUGAAAAAAUAAUUAAUGCUGCAUGGGGAUAAUAAAACGACAGAUAAAAGUACUUAAGAGCAAAUUUCUUAAACGUCAGUUAUAAAAAAAGGGAGAGAGUAUAUUAUUUGUUAUUAUUUCUUAUAAUUAUAGAAUCGCAAUUAUUUAUUUAUUUGUUAUAAAUUAUAUAUAUUUGAUUCAAUUAAUUAAUUAUUCAAAUAAGCAUAUUAAUGAGGUUCUAAAAUGCUAUCAACACUCGUCUCUAAUAGGUAUAACAUGUCAAGUGAUAAUUGCUUGGUGAUUCAAGUAUAUUAGGGUGGAAAAAUUAUAAAUGAAGGAUGGUCAAUUUUAUAUGAUCCUUCUAUACCGAAACAAAUGUUGUUCCUUACAGAGAUGGUCGGUUAUGAUGACUUGGUAGACAAAAUAUACAAUCUUUUGGGUUUAGAUCGGAAUCUUCUGGGUAGACAAAAUAUACAAUCUUCAUUACAUGUUUGCUAAAUAUCAAAUAUUAUAAUAUGGGAAUUUAGUCUUUUAUUAUUUGAAUGCUUAUCGUUAUUUUUAUAUUUAGCCAUUUCACCGUUGUCACGCUAUGCAUUUUUUCCUCUUUUUUUGGUCCUUUAUUUUAUAUAUUGCACAAUAAAUUUAGUUUUAUAAAAUUAUAGUGAACAUUAAAAAUUACAUAAAAAUUCUAACAAAUUAUUUCUCAACAAUUUGAGAACUACAUCUUAUUACAAAAUGAAUGGUAUAUUUUGUUUGAAAAACAUUUUCGUUGUUUAACAUCCUAUAGGAGUAAUUAGUGAUUUUGCACAAAUCUAUUUUCUUUUUUUCUUAUGUUUCAACUUUGAAAUGUAAAUUAAUUAACUUAAAUUUCAAAGUAUUUAGUACUUCAGGUCGACUCAGCUUUUUAUUAAACUUUUUUUCUUGUUUUGGUUUUUUGAUUUAUUUUGUAUGGGAGAUUUAUGAAAUUAUCUUCACAAUACAAACUACGAAAAAAAUUCAGAACUUAAAUAGAUGUUCUAUUAGUAUGCAUUAUGUUCAAUUGGUAAAAUGCAAAAAUUCAAUAUAAGUACCAACACGAGAAUGAAUACGAAAUCUAAAAUGUUUAGGGUUUAGGGUUUAGGGUUCAAGGUUCAGGGUUUAGGGUUUAGGGUUUUGAUCUUUAGGGUUUAGGGUUUUCGGGUUUAGGCUUUAGGCUUUAGGGAUUAGGGAUUAGGGUUUUUAGGUUUAGGGUUUAGGGUUUAGCGUUUAGUGUUUAGGGUUUUGAUCUUUUGCAUGAUGCAACAUGUCACAAAUUACGAUUGAUAAUUACUAAUCAUAUCACAAUUUCAGCCUUACGAUAUUUUCUUGAGAAUAAAAUGAGAAGCUAUAAAUGAAAGAGAAAAAUUCAAAAUUAAAAGAAUAUGAAUACUAGAUAAUUGUAUUUCAAGUCAAGUGAUUUGAAUUCUAGUGGGAAGUUUUCACUAAGAAUUUUUUGUUACUCGGCACAUUUUGUUUGGUAGACUUAUUAAUUUUUUUUUUAUUUUUCAGAAAAAUUCGGUCAGGUACCGGGCUGACACAAUCCAACACCUGAUAGAUUUUUAAAAAAAAAUUUCCUGUCAGGUGAGAUUCUAUAAUUAUAAGAAAUAAUAACAAAUAAUAUAACAAAUAACAACAAAUAAAGGGUAAUUAAAUAACAACGAAUAAUAACAAAUAACAACAAAUAAAGUGUAAUUAAAUAACAACAAAUAAUGCAUUAUAAUUAAAUAAUUAAAUCAUUUAUAACAAAUAAAUGAAUAUUUAAUAAAUAACAAAUUAAACCUAAUUCAUCACCUUAAUUAAAUGCAUUUAAUCGAAUCUCUUAAAAUUAAUUCACUCAAUUAAUUAAACUAAUUAAUUCACUAAACUAAUUAAAGUGAAUUGCAUUUAUCAACUAGUUUAACAAAUAAAGUGAAUUGCAAUUCACUCAAUUGAAACAGAUGCCGGGCUGACACAGCCCGACACUUGACAUCUUUUUUUUUUUUUAAAUGUGUCAGGUGCUGGGCUGUCUGACAUGUUUUUUUAAAAAAAAAGUUUCUGUCAGGUGCCGGGCUGUCUCAGCCCGGUACCCAUAGUUUUAUACAUGCACUCUGUCAGAUCCGCAAGUGUCUGACUUUUCUUUUUUAUACAUAUAUUCUAAUCAAUUAGCCAAAAUGAGAGUGGUCGACGUCCAUUUGCUUUCCGUAUGCAUGGGUUGGGAGGAGAUGAGCAAGCUACGACUGAGGACGACGAGGAUGUGUUCUCAGACUCGGGAGUUGAGAAAGAUUCUGCCACCAGGAUGAAGAGCCGCCGUAGUAUUACGACCGGGACAUUCACGGCCAGUAGUGACAUGUUAAAGUCUGACAAUGUUUUCUCCGAGAUCAUGAAUCCCGCCGCAAGGUGAGGAUUUUAAUCAAUAGAUUAAACCUUCAAAAUUGUACGUGGGAUAUUCAUGUCUCAGGAGUCGAGCGUGCUAUGUCCUUGUGCUAUUUUUUUUUGGUUUUUUUUUGUCUGUAUUGGGCAACCUAUUUGUAAUGCCAAGAUAGUGUAUUUUUUGAAAUGUAAUAUUAAUUAAGGGAAGUACAUAAAUAUUCGGAGUGUUUUUGAAAAUGUAAAAUCGAUUUAAAAAAGUAAAUAAAUACGAUAGAAGAUCAGUAAAAUUGAUGGGAAAAGUAUUAAAUGCAAGGGAAGGUUAGUGUUUUUGAUAAUUCAUGCCUUAGGAGUCUAGCGUGCUAUGUCCUUGUGCAUUUUUUUUUUGUAUUGUGCAACCAUUAAGAUAUAUUUGUGGUGUUAAAAUAUAUUUUGAAAAUGUAAAAUUAAUUAAGGAAAGUAUGUAAAUAUGAGGGAGUAUUGUUGGGGAUGUAUGAUUAAUUAAGAAGAGUAAAUAAAUACAAGAAAUGAUUGGUAAGAUUAGAUGAGAAAAAUAUUAAAUGCAAUGGAAAGUAAUAACUGUUAGUAUGUGUAUAUAUGAUAGGUUAGGUGAAUUUUAAAUGUCUUAAUAAAAUAAAAGUACCUAACGGAUAUGGGUACUUAUUAAAAAAAAUGUUAUGAAAUAACAAAAAAAAUGUGGAUGUCCUUUUGUAUUCCCAAGGGGAUUAAUUCAUGAUUUUAUGGCAACAUUAUGUAUAGAAAUUACAAUCCAUAAAUCUAUUUAUGUAGUGAAAAAACUGUUUCAUAAGUUUCUUCAUAUUAUUGUAGUAGUGGAUGUUUAAUAGGACUAAUGCACCUUUGAUCUUGUAGUACCUAUAUAGAGGUACAUUGACACCCUUUGGGAGCACUUUUGUAUUUUGUUGGAAUACAAGAAUACCACUCUCCAUUUCUCUACUUCUUUCUCCAAUAUUUCACUUGAUAUUAUAGUAGUUUAUUUUAUUAGUUUUAUAACACGUUAUCAGCACGAGUAUCUACUUUGGAGCAAAAGGUGAAAACGGAGGCGCUACUUUGAACAAAAGUGAAACACAAGAUUUUGCCGAAAUUCUGCUUGUAUUUCUUCAAGUGACUUUUGAGGUAAAUUUCUAACUCAAAAACUUAUUUUAAUUUCUUAUGGCUAAUUUUACAAAACAAGAGUUCGUACCUCUUGAUAUUUCUGGAAAAAAUUAUUUAUUAUGGGUAUUAGAUGUUGAAAUUCAUCUUGAUGUAAUGGGUCUUGGUAACAUUAUUGUUGAAAAACAUGAAUUCUCAAACCAAAACCGUGCCAAAGCUAUGAUUUUCCUUCGUCAUCAUUUAGAUGAAGGAUUAAAAAUAGAGUAUCUUACUGUCAAAGAUUCUCUUGUCCUUUGGCAAGAUUUGAAAGAAAGAUUCGACCACCUGAAGUUGGUCGUUCUUCCAAAAGCCCGAUUUGAUUGACUUCACUUACAGCUGCAAGAUUUUAAAUCUGUCAAUGAAUAUAAUUCAGUCAUGUUCAGAAUCACUUCUCAAUUAUCAUUAUGUGGCAAAAAAGUUACUGAUGAAGAUAUGUUAGAGAAAACAUUUUUUACUUUUCAUGUCCUAACAUGCUCCUGCAACAGCAAUAUCGAGAGAAGGGAUUUAAAAAAUAUUCUGAACUUAUCGUAUGUCUUCUCUUGGCUGAACAAAACAAUGAAUUAUUGCUGAAAAAUCAUAAGUCCCGACCAACUGGUACAAGUCCAUUCCCUGAAGCGAAUGCGACUCAAUUUCAAAAUUCUGGUCGAGGUCGUGGACGUGGCCGUGGAAGAGGCUGUGGAAGAGGCCGUGAUCGUAUUAAAUUUGUGCCUCGUGAAAAUUUUAACCGUGGCAAACAACAAAAUGUUUCCCAAAAAAGGAAAAAUAACUACGAUCAGAAAAAUGGAGGAAAGAAAGUUUAUAAAGAAAAAUGCUAUUGGUGUGGUAUGGAAGGUCAUUGGUCUCGUACCUGUCGUACGGCCGAACAUCUUGUCGAUCUCUAUCAAGCAUCAUUGAACAAGAAAGAGAAAGGCAUUGAGACAAAUUUCAUUAAUCAAAAGAAUAAGAGUAAAUAACAAAAAAGCCCCCUGUGAUUAAGCAAUCAUACAUAAAAGCCCCAUGUAGUUUCAUAUCAUACCAGUCGAUACCCCGUGGUCUGAAUUAACCUGAAAAGUGGACGGAAAUCGUCAAAUAUUCGGCGUGUGUCUUAAACGAACUGCAAAGGCGCGUGCAUAUGCGAAAAAUAGAUUUCCACCACCAACUUUCAUCUGAUAUGCCUACUUUACCCUUCACUCUUUAAUAAUAAGAGGCCAGCUUCCAAGUCUUCCGAGUCUUCAUGUUCGGCCAAAAUUGAAAAUUGAAGGCAGCAUUCGAAAUCUGUCCAGGCAGUUCAAUCAAGCAGAGCUUGCAGGCUAGCAAAGGAAUUGCAGGAAACAAAGCCUUAAGGUAAAAAUGUGAACUGUAUUUGUAUAUAUUGGGUCUGCUAAUUCUGAAGGAAAAGUGGAGAAAGUACCCCAAGAUGUCUUCCUCAAGCUCUCGACCAACAAGUGGGGGAAAUGGAGGCAGAGGUCUUCGAUACUAGUACAAGGUAUGUAAUUGUCGAAGGAAGGCAAAGCUAAAGAUUGUUGAGUCGGAAAAGCCAUCGAAAGGAUUGUUAUAUUUUGUGUGUGAAAAAGAUGAAUGUUGGUUCUUUUCAUGGUGUAACCCAAUUUACAGAGACGAGCCAAAUCGAGAUGCACCUGUUCCCGUAGUGAGCCAACCUGUUGAAGAAAAUGCGUAUUUGGGUGGCGUGCUCUCGAAACUGGAAAAUUUGGACAAUGAAAUGAAGAAUUUGAAAUUGCUAGUUGGAGGUUGUGUUAUGGUAUCUAUCUUUUCUAUUUUACUGUUGUUGAUGUCUACCAGAUAAGAUAAUGGUAGGUUGUUGUUGAUGAUGUAGAUCUUCAUCUAUCAAAUUGCUAGUUGGUAGGCUGCUGGUGAUGUAUGGAGUUUUGUUGCAAUAAAAUUGAACAAAAUUGGUAAUCGACAUUUUGUAGUUUUGUUUUGGUAAUCUGCAUUUUGAAAACACCAAAAAAUGAACGAAAUAAACUAGUUGGAGUUUUGUUUGCACAUUAGUAGUCUUAACUCAACUAGCUGCAUUUCAGCAGGUAGUCUUAGCUCAACUAGUUAUGGAGUUUUGUUUGGUGUCUAUCCCAACCGAAUAAUGGUCAGAUUUGUUCUGGUGUUUCCACUACGGGUAAGAAAUAUACCUGCUAAAAAUUGGACAACAACCGAUACAGAAAACAAACAAAAGAAGAUUGGACAGCAAGUGAUAUAGAAGACAAACAAAAGAAGACAAAAUUGAAUCUAGUUGCCAGUUGCCAGUUGCCAUUCUACAUAACAUUCAUCUCAACUUGCCAAGAACAUAGAUUCAGAACUAUUUCCAGAACAAAGAGUGUAACUACAAAAUCUGUUUCCAGAUUAUUCAGUAACUACAAAAUUUGGUUGCCAUUUCAGGGAACCAAAAUCUGGUACCCAAGAACUUCAUUCAGUCACCACAAAAAUAGUAAAUACAUAAGCUAAGUGUAUGCAGAACAUAGAUUCCAUCACUGUUUCCAGAAUCAUUCAGUGACUACAAAAUCAGCUUGCUAUUUCACACAACCAAAAUCUGGUACUCAAGAACUUCAUGCAGUCACCACAAAGAGUGUAACUACAAAAUCUGUUUCCAGAUUAUUCAGUAACUACAAAAUUUGGUUGCCAUUUCAGGGAACCAAAAUCUGGCACUGUUGAACUUCAUUCAGUCACCACAAAAAUAGUAAAUACAUAAGCCAAAUGUAUGCAGAACAUAGAUUCCAUCACUGUUUCCAGAAUCAUUCAGUAACUACAAAAUCUGGUUGCCAUUUCACACAACCAAAAUCUGGUACCCAAGAACUUCAUCCAGUCACCACAAAAAUAGUAAAUACAUAAGCUAACUGUAUGCAGAUCAGUAGACAUUACAUUUUCAUCGACAACCAAUCAUUGUACAUUCCAGAUAGUUGCAGAUAUCAUUGCAACUGCAUGUAAUAUUCCAAAAUGAAGGUCUAACUACAGCUAGACAACUAUUAGGCAGGUAAUUAAGGUUGGAUAGCUUUUGAUCUCUUUGGCCUUAACUUGCGCAAGACAUCAGUAAUAGUUGGAGCUGUGGCUGUGGUUGCUGUUGCAGUGGUGGCAUCAGCACUGUUACUCCCACUCAUAUUCAUACCAUGCACAGGCUGCAAUUACAUAUAUAAAGAGAACUUAGAUGUAUAUCAGAACUCCAUUUGUUUUUAUGAAACUCAUUAAAUCAAUGUAAAAGCUUGGUUGAGUGUACACCUUCCUAGCCUGUUUGCUAGUCAUUGUGGUAUUUUGUGCAGUAGGAGCUCCUUUACUAGUUGACUGUGGUUGAGUGGACGACUCAGCAAUUGGUUCAGCUGCGCUUGCUUCAGGUGCCUAUAAGAAUGAUAUUUAACAUUAUUAAUACAUACAGAUGCUAUACAAAUGACAUUUAAGUGUACAAGGAAAAUUACCUUAUAAAAUUUGGAGUUAGGGUGAAUGGGAUUCUUGCACGUCCGUGAGUUAUGCCUUGGCUGAAAACAUCUCUUGCAAUGUACCACAAGCCCCUUUCUAGUUGAUACUUGACCCUUCUUAGGCUCAUCUUGUGCUCUCCGGCGUAGUUUCUUUGGUCUACCAGGCAUUCUCCUAACCGCAGGGGGGUUUAUGGACUCUUCUUCAGCUAUUAUCCAGUAAAUAUCACUUGGAACAGGUGUGAUAGUAUAUGCAUAUGUUUUCAGAUAUUCUGCUCUAGUGUAGCAAGCAUGCACAUAAUUUUUAAUAGGUAAUCUACACACUCCUAUCGCCGCACAUGCAUGGGCACAAGGAUAACCUGUUAAUUGAAAAUAUCCACAGGUACAUGUCCACUCACGCAAGUCUACUACCACACAUUUUCUCACACCACAGUCGACCUCAUACUUGUGACCAUCGUCCCAGGUCGCAACAAAUGUCCUACUCAACUUCUGAUUCUUGUCGAUCUUUUCUGCUAUAUUAGGACAGAUCUCUCCUUGAAACUUUUGCAUUCCAGAUCUCUUUGUUUGAAUUCUCUGCAUCAAUCUCCUCCUUAUCCAUUCAAGCAUCCCAAUGAUAGGUAACUCUCUUGUUUCUAAUAUAUAGUUGUUGAAUGACUCAUUUAGGUUGUUUACCAGAAUGUCACAUUUACUAUAACCUGUAAAAUGUGAUCUACUCCAAAGGGCUGGUGGAAUUUUGCUCAACCAUUCAGCAGCUUCUUUGUUUGUCUUUUCUAGUUCAAUCAUUGCCAUUUUCCAUUCCCUUUCAUUGCCAGCGCUUGCGGCAGCCCAAAACAUGUCUUUCAUUUCCUUUCCUUUGAACUUUUGGUUAAAAUUCUGGUACAUGUGCCUGAAGCAAAAUCUAUGCUCUGAAUUUGGAAACAGUUCAUUCACAGCAUGCACAAGCCCUUUCUGUCUAUCUGAGAUAAAGGUCCAAGGAAUGUUAUCUCUUCCCAUGCCCAAAUCAGCCAUUAGCAACUCCAAAAACCAUUUCUAGGAGUCAUACCGCUCUACCUCUACCACUGCAAAUGCUAUUGGAACCAUGUUGUCAUUGCCAUCUCUGCCAAGUGCGGAUAAUAAUUGUCCACCAAAUGCUGUCUUAAGGAAACAACCAUCUAGACCAAUUAUUGGUCUACAACCAUCAAGAAAACCCUUCUUACAGGCAUAUAAGCAAUAAUAUAACCUUUGAAAUGUACCCCUUGAACCAUCAGGAGGCUUGUCAAUCUGCAUUUUUACAGUACUUCCAGCAUUUGUGUCUCGGACUGUGGCUGUAUAACUCCAGAGUUUUUGAUACUGCUCCAUGUCCGUGCCUAGCAUCAUAUCCUUUGCCUUACGUUUAGCUCUACCAACCUUAGCAAUUAACACAUUAAUCAUUAAAUCUCUUCUGAUGUCAUUCUUCAACCCCAUCAAAUCAACUUUUGGAUUAUCCCUGAUCUUCUCUUGAUAUUUGUUGCUCAGAUAUGAGGCUAUUGCAUGCUUAUUUUGAUAUUCUCGAGCACAUACAUGCUCAUCCUUCAGUGACUUUAUUUGGAAGAUCGAUUCAUUUUGAAUUGGUGUUGCCCGAAUCCUCCAACUACAACCUUUUGCACAGAUGGCAAUAAUUUUUUUGGAGUAGUUUUUCACCCAAGUAACUUCAUAACCCUCUCUUACUAGCCAUUCACACAACACAGAUCUAAACACUCUAAAAUUAGUAAACUUCUGCCCCACUUUCAACUCAAAGUGUGGCUUCCCAAACUCAACUUCAGGAUUGAAGUCAAGGCAGUAAUCUUCUUCUCCACUACCAGAUCUAAAUUUGUCCAGCAAAUCUUCAUUUGGAACCACAGGUUCUUGCCAAUCCUCUUCAGUCACCUCAGUAUUCCCUACCCUUUCAUCUUCUUCUCUCAAAUCUGAUUCUCUAAAUGUUGCAGAAGAUUUUUUGAUGUUUGCAGCUUCAUCUUCUAAUGGCCCUUGAGAUGAUACAAGUCCUUUUUCAAUGCUUACAUCUUCAGCAUCUGAUGGCCUUUGAGAUGAAACAGGGGGUCAAUUUGCCGAAUCACAUCUGGCCCUCUAGAUUGUGAAGUUUUGCUGGCCCUUUUCUUUCUCACAGAACCCCUUUUAGGAGAACUUUUUUCAUCUGUCUUUCCACCAAAUGAGAAUAUAUGCACUGGCAAUUUUUUUAUGUCUCCAUCUGCCCUUGCCCCACCUUUUUUGUUAUAGUUGCUGGGUCCAGCAGUAUCUUUCUUGGGGCUAAAGAUGUCUUCAUCUUCUAUUGUUUCCAACCCAUCUUUUAACCAUUCUGGCUCUUCAUCAUCUUCACAUGCACCUGUCCCCGUAGUGUUAGUGACCCCACUAUUUUCAUGUCCAUAGGUUGUAUCAGGGCCUUCAUUUUUUAUUCCAUUACUGACCCCACCAUCUUCUGGCUCCUUUUCAAAUGGCUCAUCCCCACUACAAGCAUAAAUUAGCCUUUCCAUUGGCAAGUUCCAGUAGCACUGCUUCAUUAAAUUAAUAUCAUUAUUGUCCCUAAUUGGGUGUAGAGCACCUUCUAAAUCAACAUCUGGGACACAAAACCAAAACGUUACUUUAUUUGCUCUUUCAUCUACUUUUUUAAACAUUCUGCACAGGCUCACUAUCGACAACUGAUCUUCAAUUCUGUCUUUGAAAAUAGCCAUGUGGGUUCCUGUGUAGUGGAGCCUUGGUUUUUCUCUAAAUCUCCCACCAAAAUGCAUGUGUAUCUCAACUUUGUCCUUGGAUUUCUCCUCUGUGAUACCAUGACAAGCAAUAAAGUUCUCAGAGUCUUUCACAAGUAUACAAAAAACUAACAUAAUACAAUCAGAACAAACAAUUGGGGACCACAUUGGACCACAACAUGUCUCGAUAUAAGCCAUAUUAAGAUAAUGACAGAUUACAGAAACUGGCAUGCUUGACUAAUCAUGGCAUUUAACAGUAGUAAUUGAUCAAUAGAAGUAAUACUGCACUUUGAUAGUAUAACUUCAAGCCAAAAAGACGGACUGUCAGACUCAACAAUUGAGUCUGACCAAAAACAAGGGAUAACCAGAUUAGGACCUGAAACACGUAGCCUUAUCAUCCCAAACAACUGAGGCAUUGGAACCAAAGCUGCUAAACGCGUUUUUGGAGGGACCUCUUCUAUAAAGCUGUCUCUUUUUAAGCUUUCAAAAAUUAUCAAAACUUUACCAAUUUGAAAGGAACGCUUAAACUAUCUAUCUAUGCAACUAGGUUUGCUGGGCAUACGUCAAAAACCUUUAUCUUCAUUAACAACAUUCGUAAAUACAUCAAAAAAGCUAUCUUUGUUAAAUAAUGCCUCCCAAUUUAAUCUGAAAUCAGUAAAUAACAAUUUUUCUUGUACAACAUACCCCAAAACCCGAAUCGAAAUAGAUGAGAGAUGAUAUACUAACCCAUUUUUCUUCGAUUUUUUACCGCAAAUCUUCACUUCCUCGUAUUCUCCAUCGAUCUUGAUAUUUGAUUGAAAUAACAAUCGAAAUUUUUGCUGAAAAUUGGCUACAAAAGGGGCUGCUCUAUCUCUCUCUAGGGUUUCCUAUUUCUUUCUCUCUCUCUUCGUUGGUUUCGAUAGAACGAAAGUGCAAAAUUACUUCUGCAAUUUUCGCUUAUAUCAAAAGGGUAUUUUCGUCUAUUCACUCAGUUUCGUCUGUUUUGCCGAUUUCCGUCCACUUUUCAAGUUAAUUCAAAUCACGGGGUAUCGACUGGUAUGAUAUGAAAUCACAGGGGGCUUUUAUGUAUGAUUGCUUAACCACAAGGGGCUUUUUUGUUGUUUACCCAAAGAAUAAUUAUAAUGAUGCUGAUGAUGCUGAUAUGACACACCUCGAUGUAGCUGAUUUUUUUGAGCAUCCUGAAAAUGUCAACAAAUAUCUCAUGAUUAUUUAGAUAUUUUUAUGAUGUUUUAUAUCUUUUAUGUAAUUUUUUUUCAUUGAAUAUUUAUUUUUGUUUGAAAUUUUCUUCCUGAAUAAGAAAUUGAUGUCAAAUAUUUGGGAUUAAAUAAUGGUGAUGAUGAUAUUUGUCUCAUUGAUAGUGCUACUACGCACACCAUAUUGAAAAAUAAAAAAUAUUUUUCUUGUUUGAAAAUGGGAGAAACAAAUGUUAAUACCAUUAGUGGUAGUGCAAAAUUGAUUGAAGACUCCGGAAGAGCCACUUUAUUUUUCUCUUAAGGGACUAAAAUUAUUGUAAAUAAUGCACUAUUCUCUCCCAAGUCUCGGAAAAACUUAUUAAGCUUUAAAGAUAUUUGCGAAAAUGGAUAUCAUAUCGAGACAAUGAUUGAGACAAAUGGUGAAUUUUUAUUAAUCACAAAUAUCAUUUCUGGAAAAAAAUACGUAGUAGAAAAAUUAUCUUCUUUUUCUUCUGGCUUAUAUUAUGCACAAAUUAAUGCAAUUGAAAUUCAUCACCUAGUAGACCAGAAGUCUACUCAUCCUAAUGAUUUUAUAAUUUGGCAUGAUCGUCUCGGACAUCCUGGAUCUAUAAUGAUGAGACGAAUAAUCGAGAAUUCACAUGGCCACUCAUUGAAAAAUCAAAAGAUAUUAAAAGCAAAUGAAUUCUCCUGUGUUGCUUGCUCUCAAGGAAAAUUAAUUAUUAGACCAUCACAAGUUAAAGUUGAGAUUGAAUCCCCUACAUUUCUAGAACGAAUUCAUGGUGAUAUAUGUAGACCUGUAGAUCCACCAUGUGGACUAUUUCGAUAUUUUAUUGUGCUAAUUGAUGUAUCAACUAGAUGGUCACAUGUAUAUUUAUUAUCUACUCGCAAUCUGGCGUUUGCGAGAUUGCUUGUUGACAGGGUGUCGAAACCUGUACAAUAAUAAAAUUAAACCUAAUUGCCAGUUAAAAUGACCAAACUCAAUUCCAAGUACUAGAGCAGGGACUUUAGGUGUGCAAUGGAUUACUUGAUUCACCCUGUUCCCGAAGAGUUUGCUUGGUCCGAUAUACCCGAAUGGAAUGGUUAUUUCUUUUCACAAAUAAUUAUGAAUUCGUAGACAUGGCAAGUAGGGUCGUAUCCACUGGGAUUGGGUAUACUUGUUUCUUAAGAAAUUCAAAACAACACAGGGGGUGAUUUUGUAGGAAUGAUAACAAUCAAAUAAAUUCAAAUAAGAAAAUAAAAAUGAAAAUAAAUAACUGACUAGAAAUUAAACAAUAAUUCACUGAACUCAGAGUAACAAUAAUUAAAGGCCCAAAUCAAUUAAAACAAGGAAGCACUUAAAAAUAAAAUAAAGUAGGCAACUAAAAGUCAAAUGGCAAUUCACCAAAAUUAAGAUAAUAUUAAUUAAAAGUCUAGCCAAGAAAUGACUUCAGCAAUGGUUCACCUAAUUGAUCAUCGAAGCAAAGGCAAUCCCAAUUGUUUAUCAAUAAAUAGGUUAUAACUACCAAACAAGCGAUAGCAGUCAACUCCUCCUUACUGUGUCGAUGAUUAAGGUACGCCCGUUAAUCACUGCUCUAAUUAAGGAAUAAUUCUAGGUACGUCCGUAAGAUUUAAUUCCCCAAUUGCCUUACAUAUUAGAGGAGCCCUAUUCUAACCAAAUAACGGACUACCAGGGUUAUUUUAGAUUAGCCGUCGUAUCCCCCUGACACGAAUCUAAUCGUGCCAGUUGUCACUAUUUCAGGACAAUUACGGAUUUAAUGCUUUAAUUGACAGUAGGUUACCAAAUCAAUUAAUUAUCCGGAUCCAAAAUAAUCAAUUAAUUAAAUAAUCAUAAGCAUAGCAAACAAGGAAUAAGUGGAUAUCAAUAAAUAAAAGGGAAAGAUUAAAUUAAAACGAUCUUACAAUUUUUAGGCUACCCAAAACAUCCGUCGUCUCUUGACUAGAAUGAGAAAAUUAGUUCAUAUUUGAUGAACUAAGUCCGCGGGAAAUUUCAGCAAAAGUCACGGCCAUUGUCUGCAUUUCAGGAAGCCACAAUUCGUCAAACAAUUGAAAGGCGAAUGAAAGUUACAGGUAACAAUUGAGUCUCUUAAUUGUUUCUAGCAUCCGUAGAGCAAAGCUACUCAAAAGGUACAAGGAGAAAAAGUCAAAGUAGAUAGCCUCCAAUUCUCCUGACAUGCGUGAGAACAAACAAAAAGGAAUUCUAAAGGAAGAAGCUAAUGAAAUGCUAAGCUAGUCCUCAUUGUCUUUCUCCCAGCCGUGGAGAAUGCCUACAAAAGGCUCAGAGGAAAAAGUCAAAAAGUGCGGCUCUCCAGCCCCUGCUCUCUUCCUUCUCUUUUUUUUCUCCUAAUUCCCCGCAGCACCUCAGCAAAAUGAAGCCCUUCCGGCCGUCAUUCCCUUGCGGAAUUUACCAAAAUAGACGUAACAUCUUCUUUUCCAAAAAUAUCCCUGGGUCAAUCUCUAUCAUCGGGACUCUUUUUCUGCCAAAUGUGUACCUGUCAUCAUAUUUUCGUUCUACUCCCUGAAAUAAGUGCAAAUUACGAAAAGUAAAUAGAAUCUACUAAUUAAUCCACAUCAGGUCAGGUAAUAGGGAAAAUUAAUAAUAAAAUAAAUAGAUAAAUUGCAACCUAUCAAUUCCCCCCACACCUAAACCAUGCUUGCCCUCAAGCAUAAGAAAAGUGUACAGACACCAAAAUUUGAUAAUGGUCAUCACUCUAUUCUACCAACUUGCCAAGAUAUCAAGAAAAACCAUAUAUCGAGUACUAGUGAUCAAAAUCUGAGGAGCAUCCCCCCAGUUAGCCUCUAAACUGCAAAUUUCUUCAAUUUCCAAAUUAGCUAAUCUAAGAAGAAAGAAUGACGUAUAACACUUAUCAGCAAACAAUUCAAAUAUUAACCAAAGCCUCCAUAUUCAGUCCAUAAAUGGGCAAGCUGACCUCUAACAUAUUACACAACCUGCACUUUUCUGUUUUUUUUUUCACUUUUUUCAUUUCCAAUAAUAAUAACAAUACACAAAAGACUUAGUCUCUAGCCAUUGGAGCCUUUUGACGCGAACUCCAAUAUUUUUAAAUGAAGGAGCCCGGUUACUCAGCUCUCACCGCUAUACGACCACGUACUCAUAAAAAGUACCACCUUUUGACGCGAGAAUCAACACUUUUAGGUGCAGAUUCCCGAUUACUCAGUAGCAACUAUUAGCGGAGUACAGUCAAACUUAUUCACAGCCAAAUAAUGCAAAAACGCAAGAUAACAACACUAAUAACCACGCAUAGGAGCAGCUCACCUCAUUAUUGCCAAACAUGGAGAACUGGAGUCAAUAUUGGACCAGUUCACAUUAAAAUGCCAACAGCCAUUCCCUAUGCCUAGAAAAGUUAACAAAGAAAUCAAAAGAGUCAAACAGUCCGAUAUUCACCAAGGAGAUAUCUUGGACCCAACCACAUUAAUCCGAUACAUUUUUAUUUUAAAAACUUGGCAAAAAUAGAAUUAGAGGCAAUGAACCAACAUCCAUUUUUUUUAAAAAAAAAUUUUUCACAUGAGGGAUAAGCACCAAGAAAAGAAAGUAAGCAAAUGAGCAACUAGAAAUAAAACUAAAAACUACUAAUAACUAGAAAAUACUAGCACCCCAUUAGACCUCUCCCACACCUAUAGGACACAUUGUCCUCAAUGGGUCAAAUAAACAGCACAAGUAAGAGAGAAAGCAACCAAACUUCCCUGAAACCGGGUCAAAGAGGUGGGCGAGGUGGAAAUGGAGCAGCGAAACCCGUGUGAAAUAAAAACUGCACCAAAUUCUAUGCCAUGCCUGCGACAUUGGCGUCAACGUUGACCAUUCGAGCCUCCAAAGCCCGAACCUGCUCCCGGAGUUGCUGCUAUUCAGUCGUCCCAUGUGGUGGAGAUGACGCAGAAGAUGAAGGCCCAGCUGUGUCCUCGACUGACUCAUGAAAUGAAGAGGACCCUGCUCGGGUCGAAGGGUGCACCCCUGGAGCUCGAACUGGUCCCGGAGAGGUAAACUGGUAAGAACCAUCGGGUAGGCGCUCGACGACUUCCAUUUUCUCUAAGUAGUCCACGCCCAGGAGCUCCAUCUCGAAUGCCAAAUGUAGGUCGUGGUUCUCCAGGUUAAGAACUCCCAACUGUGUUGCCAAGUGUGUGAUAUAGGACCCAAGGAUCAGGGGUUUGUUCUUUUUGGCUAAGACGGUCUUGAACUGUGCCGCAAACCAACAACCCAAGUUGACUUUGUUGUUAUUCUUCAUAUUCCAGAUAAAGAAAAACUCGGGUCGAGAGAGAAUACCGGAGCUGUCCUUGCGACCGGAGUAGCUGUAGUCUAAGAAUCGCUGAACGUAUCGGGCGCUAGGGUCCUUAAGAAAGGAGCUCCUAGACCUAGAAGGGUCGUAGCGGUGCCGAUCGGUAGACAUGUCUUCCCACAUAGUGCGGUAGCGGGAGAGAAAAGGCUCUAUGUAAUCACAGGCACUUUCACCAUACUCUCUAGUCUCAGCAUACUCCCGAGUAAUAAAUCCAAAUGCCAUAUUAAAUUGGGUAAUCGAAAAAUUAAAUUUCCGACCCAUCAGACGGAAGCGGAUGACAUUGGGUGUCACAAGGGUGUACCUCGUGGGCAACUCAAACUCAAAGGUAGAAUAAAACUCCCGAGUGAGCUCGACAAAGGCGGGGCAGAAGAUAUAGAGAUACGGGCGCCACCCGAUGGCUGUAAACAUCUGCUCGACUUCCUCUCGUAUGCCUAGACCCAUCAUAACUAGUUUACUACAAGAUUUACAAGGUAUGAUACGCCGCUCACAGACCUUAGCAUAUCUCUGCUGAUCGGCGGGUCUAGUGAAGGUUAGGUGCCCUCCAAAGUGAGUUGGGGUAUCUACCUGGGCACCCCUGCCCCUACUCAAGCGGGUUCGGACAUUAGAAGAGAAGGGUAGAUUGGUAGGUGUAUUCACAGGAAUAGAUGCAUGUGGAGGGGUUGAGAACGAGGGGCCCUAGACCUAGAGGAUGAUUUAGGUCUCACCAUGUCUCCCAACAGUCAGCUCAAAGUAACAGAAGAUCCAACAGGUAUAGAAACUAGCAAAAGCAACUAGCAAAAGAAGCUCAACAAAAACAAAGCAAAAAUCUCCCAGUAGUAACCCAAUCAAUAACAAACAAAAGAGUUCCAGCAAGUAAAAAUGCCCAAUGUCCCAUAGAAGACGAACAAACUGUUAUGAGUUCAAUGACUAUAGCAAUGAAAGUAACCCCAGCAAGUAUGCCAGUCCACAGAAGUCAAUAUGUAGCCCGAUAUAGUAAGGCCUUCCCAAUCAGCAAUUCAACAAGUAAUUAAACCGAAUAUUACCAAUCUCAACAAGUACUUCACGCGGCCAGUCUCUCUAAUUCAACAAGCAAUUUCAGAAAUAACUCAACCAAAAUCCCAAAAGAAGCCUCAGCGAGUCUUCCAGCAAUUCAAGCAGAAUAGUGCCCAACAAUUCACUACGAGUCAACCAAUUUUCACAAGCAAAAUGAGGUUCAAAAUUUCCUCCAAAGUUAGCAAACAACCACUGCAAUUCAGCUCACCCAAAGUCCCAACAAAUGGCUCCAGUUGGCCAAUUAAUGCCUUAACUCAGAAUUAGCAAUUUCAACAAUGAUAGCUUAGAUAUUUGACAAUAAUAACUUAGCCAACCAAAAUCGUAGCAAAAAUUCCACAAAAUCAACAAUUCAGGCAAUAACAAUUCAGACUCGGACAGUGACAAAGGAAUUCCAAACCUUCAGCUUCCUAUUAACCAGCCAAUAAGAGAGGAAGGAUCAAAUGUAGUCCAAAUACCCAAACAAGGCAAUGACUGGACUCAACAGGCAGCGCACAACCAAUACAGCUCAACAGACCUAAGCCAAUAGAACUCAAACCCACCCAAAAGUGCGACUAAAAUAUGCAAGAAAAUGGCCAACCAGUAAUCAACAAAGUCAGGGCAAAUAACACAAUCAGUACCACUGGUUGACCACACAAUUGAAGAAAUAACUCCCACGGCCACCAAUACCAAUUGUGGAGGGGCUCAAACAGCACCAAACAAUAUUAGAAAUCGGGGGAUAAAUUCCAAAUACCUCCACCAGGACCACGUCGGGCGGCGGACAGAGCAGCGAGCAGAGGUCAGCUUGCUUCUGUGGCUUCGGGAGGCAGCGGCGGCGUGGGGCUGGUCGGCUUGCUGGAGGCACGAGGAGAGAGAAACGAUGGACAGCAGCCCGCAACCCCCAGUUGGAGAGUGGCGGCGACGGUCGUCCGACUGCAAGCGACGUGUGCCCGGUCACUCGCGGCUGGGGAAACGAGGCGCGCUGUUGCAGCUCGCGGCGAAGAUGGUGGCGGCGCGAGGUAGAAGAGCGGCGUGCGCAGGUGGGGGGAAGGAAAGAAAAGGCGAAUAGGGGAGCGGCGGCGCUGUAAAGUGGGUCGCUGCUAAGAGAGGGAUAGCUCGCGCGAGGGAGGUGCGUAGGGCAGCGGCAGCGUGCGGGGCUGAACAGCGGCGGCGCGCAGCGGGCGGCUCACGGGUGUCGGCGUGCGCAGGGCGAAACAGAAGAGAAGAAAGAAAGAAAAGAGAAAGAAAGAAGAAGAAGGAAAGAAAAAGAAAGAAAAGAAGGAAAAAAGAAAAAAGAAAAAAGAAAAAAAAAAUUUUAGGCUCCAUAUGCGCUACGAUGAGAAAUAUUUUCUCUUUUUUUUUGUUUUAUUUUUUUUAUGAAAAUUAAUAAAAAUUUUUUUUGAAUCCUUACCUUUCCCGCGAACGUGACGCUGGCACGUCAAAAGGCAAGAAUCCCUUUUGACGAUUCUGAUCGUGAGUUUUCUGUUCAUCACGACGCAGGCACGCCGAGUCAGACAGACACCUACAACUUAUCAAAAACGAAAAUUUCAAACCCGAAACCAAUCAAACUCAAGGAAAACAAAGUGAAACUAUCACACAAAGCCAAACAAACGAUUAAAAGAGAUUGGGUUGCCUCCCAAUGAACGCAUUUCUUUAAUGUCUUUGGUUAGACAUGGUAAAGUGUCACUAAUUAGGACACGGUGGUGUGUCUAGACUUACUGUCUCAACCUCUCCACUUAAGAAACCUUCGUAAUAAUACUUGAGGCGGUGUCCGUUCACCACAAACUUGUUGUCUGUCUUAGCACUCCGGAUUUCAACUACACCAUAUGGAAACACGUGAGUGACAAUAAAAGGUCAAAUCCAACGGAAACGUAACUUACCUGGGAAUAGCUUGAGCCUGGAUUGGUAUAGGAGGACCUUCUGACCAACUUCAAAGGUUUUUCUAGAAAUUUGUUGAUCAUGAAAUGUCCGGUUUCUCUCCUUAUAAAUCAGUGCAUUUUCGUAGGUUUCGUUCUGAAUCUCCUCCAAUUCUUGCAAAUCCAACUUCCGUUGGGCACCGGCCUCCUCUAAACUCAUGUUGCAUUACUUUAUCGCAUAAAAAGCUCUGUACUCGAACUCCACUGGAAGGUGACACGGCUUCCCAAAUACCAACCUGUACGGUGACAUCCCUAUAGGAGUCUUGUACGCAAUCCGAUAGGCCCAGAGUGUGUCAUCCAACCGUUGACUCCAAUAUUUCCUAUCGGGGCGCACCAUUUUCUCCAAAAUGGACUUAAUCUCCCGGUUCGAUACCUCCGCUUGACCAUUGGUCUGAGGGUGAUAUGACGUUGAGACCCUGUGGAGUACACCAUACUUGCGAAACAACGCAGCUAUGGUUCUGUUGCAGAAGUGCGUUCCCCUAUCACUGACAAUAGCUCUUGGCAUUUCAAAUCGCACAAAAAUAUUAGACCUGAAAAAAUCUGCAACUACUUUUGAGUCAUUAGUCUGAGUGGCCUUAGCCUCCACCCAUUUAGACACAUAAUCAACUGCCAGCAAAAUAUAUAGAAAACCAAAUAAAGUAGGAAAAGGCCCCAUGAAAUCUAUACCCCAAACAUCAAAAAUUUCAAUAAAAAUCAACGAGACCUGGAGCAUAUGAUCUCCACGGGCUAUAUUACUUACCCUUUGACAACGAUCACUUGACUUACAGAACACAUAAGCAUCCUUAAAUAAUGAAGGCCAAUAAAAUCCACUCUCUAAAAUCUUAUGAGCAGUUCUCUUGAGUCCAAAAUGACAUCCACAGGCAAAAGUAUGACAAAAAGCUAAAAUCGAUUGAAAUUCCACUUCACUUACAGAUCUCCUCAUCACUUGACCUGCACAUCUCUUCCAUAAGUACGGGUCAUCCCAGAUGAAAUAUUUGGCAUCACUCUUCAAUUUAUCCCUCUUCGAUUUCGGCCAACCUGCAGGAAAAUUACCCGUUACUAGAUAAUUGACCAAAUCAGCAUACCAAGGCAAUUGAGAAUUUAAGAAAAAUAAAUGCUCUUCAGGGAAUGCAUCCUUCAAUGGCUCGUCCUUUUCCCCAACUGGUAUGCGACUCAAAUAGUCUGCUUCUAGAUUUUCUGAGCCUUUUUUAUCCCUUAUCUCUAGGUCAAAUUCCUGUAGUAGCAAUAUCCACCUGAUAAGCCUCGGUUUGGCAUCCUUCUUGGUCAUUAGGUACCUUAAUGCUGCAUGAUCAGAAAAUACAAUUACUUUAGCACCUAACAAAUAUGAUCUGAAUUUUUCUAAAACAAAAAUAACCGCAAGAAACUCCUUCUCAGUGGUGGAGUAAUUCAACUGUGCCCCAUUCAAAACCCGGAAUGCAUAAUAGAUGACAUGAGCCACCUUUCCUACUCUUUGCCCCAGUACAGCCCCAACAGCAUGAUCACUGGCAUCGCACAUGAUCUCAAAUGGCAAACUCCAAUCGGGGGGCUGGAUGAUCGAGGGCGAGGUAAGUAGCUCUUUCAACUUGUUGAAAACUUUCUCACACUUGUCAUCGAACUCAAAGGUCACAUCUUUUUGUAAGAGUUGGAAUAACGGGGCCCCAAUUUUUGAAAAAUUCUUGAUGAACCUUCGAUAAAAACCUGCAUGUCCAAUAAAAGAACGCAUUUCCAGCACAUUCGCGGGACAAGGUAAUGCAGAUAUAAUGUCUAUUUUAGCCUUGUCAACCUCAAUGCCCUUAGACGACACAAUAUGACCUAGGACUAUCCCGUGCUCAACCAUAAAAUGACAUUUUUCCCAAUUAAGCAUGAGAUCAGUCUCUAUACACCUUAUCAGGAUCAAUUUCAAGUUAUCUAGACACGUAUCAAAAUUAUCACCAUACACACUGAAAUCAUCCAUGAAAAUCUCAAUUAUUUUCUCAACAUACUCAGAAAAGAUGCUUACCAUACACCUUUGGAAUGUUGCAGGUGCAUUGCAUAACUCAAAUGGCAUUCGUCUAUAGGCAAAGGUCCCGAACGGGCACGUGAAGGUUGUCUUCUCUUAAUCCUCUGGUGCAAUUGCUAUCUGAAAAUAUCCUGAAAAUCCAUCCAAAAAGCAAUAGUAAGCUCUACAAGCUAAACGUUUAACCAUUUGGUCAAUGAAAGGGAGAGGGAAAUGGUCCUUUUUGGUGAUGGCGUUCAGCCUACGGUAGUCAAUACACUGCCUCCAUCCAGUGGAUUUCCGCACUGGCACGAGCUCACCCGUUUGGUUAGCCUCUACCGUCACUCCUGCCUUCUUUGGGACAAUCUGGACUGGACUCACCCAAGAGUUAUCUGAUAUUGCAAAAAUAAUUCUCACAUCUAGCAAUUUCAAAAUUUCUUUCUUUACCACUUCCAUCAUGAGGGGGUUGAGCCUCCUUUGAGCCUACCGAACAGGUUUAGCAUCCUCUUCCAGCCUAAUCCGAUGCAUACAGAUGGCUGGGCUGAUCCCCUUAAUGUCUGCGAUUGUCCAACCUAUCGCCUCUUUAUGCUCUCGAAGGACUCGGAUCAGUUUCUCCUCCUAGAUUUUUGAAAAUGCCGAUGAGAUAAUCACUGGGAGUGUCUCAUUGUCACCCAAAUACGCAUACUUCAGGUGCUCUGUUAGGGGUUUUAACUCCAAUUCAGGUGCAUGCACCACAGAUGGCAAUACCCUCUGGUAAAAUUCGGGAAUAAAGAUAGGUAGGAUUUCAUACCUUUUUGUGGUGGUCGGCAAUGAGUGUAAUGCACCUAUUGUGUAUUUUAGAUUCUCGCUCCAUUCCACCUCAGGAGUUGUCCCCAACUCGAGGUACUUCGUUAAAGCCACCUCCAACUCAUCCCUGCCAACAGUUUCGAACACUUCCUACACCGCAGGGUCAAUAGCACUCACAGAUAAAACUGAGCUAAAUUUGGAGAUCGAGUGAUAUUUCAUAGUAUCAAAAAUAUUAAAAUGCACAAUUUUCCCAUCAAAUUUCAUGGAUAAGGUACCCUUAUUAACAUCAAUUUUUGUUUGUACUGUGCUCAUAAAGGGUCUACUCAAUAACAAAGGUGAGGGAUCGGGGGAGUGAUCAUCAUCCAUAUCAAGUACAUAAAAAUCAGUUGGAAACACCAAAUCAUUAACUUUCACCAACACAUCUUUAACCAACCCAUCAGGAUAUGCAUUAGUUCGGUCAGUUAAUUGAAUGUUAUUCCAGUUUCUUUUAAUAGACCUAGUUUCAGAGAAGCAUAGAUAGAUUUAGGCAUGACAUUAAUUGAUACUCCCAGAUCCAACAUGGCCAUUCUAAUCACAGUGUUGCCUAUCCUACAGGGGAUAGUAAACAUACCUGGGUCCCCACACUUUGGUGGAAGCUUUCUCUGCAGGACCGCUGACACAUUCUCCCCAACAAUGACCCUUUCAUCUCCCUCAAUCGCCUUCGGUUGACACACAAGUCCCUUAGGAACUUGGCAUAUUUUGGUACUUGUUUGAUGGCGUCUAAGAGGGAGAUAUUUAUCUCCACCUUGCGAAACACCUCCAAGAUCUCCUACUCUUUAUCCUGUUUCUUCGAUUUUUUCAACCUGCUAGGAAAAGGAGGCGGGUUAGUUUUAACUGUAAUUAUUGGGUUUGGAAGUACCUUUGGAUCUGCACCAUUGCUGUCCUCCCUCUCAAACUCAUUUUCGAUCUUUUUCUCAUCCUUAUCCUUAGGGAUCACAGGUUCAGGCCCCUGAAUUUCCUUGCCACUCCUCAAGGUCAUGGCGCUCACAUUCUCCGAGUUCAACUCAGGCUGAGACGGCAAUUUAUCCUGGUUUUGGGACUCCAAACGGUUGAUUGAUGUGGUCAUUUGACUCAUCUGAGUCCUUAUGUCCUGCAUUUCGGAAUCCGUCCUUUGCUGAUUUUGCGUAAUAGUUGCCAUCAGCUGUUUCAUCAUCUCCUCCAAAGAUGGACCAGAACUUGGGGGCGGAGUGGUCGGGGCUGGUAUUGUUGCUGGUACCCUAGUUGCUUAUUUGGCACGAAAUUAGACUGCCUGUUCGGUGCAAAGUUGGGCUGCCUAUUUCCUCCAUAGCUGAAAUUCAGGUGAUCCUUUCAGCCGGGAUUGUAGGUACUUGAAUCGGGGUCAUAGGGCCUUCGUGGCGCGGGCGCGUGACCAGCCAUGUUCACUUGCUCUGCACUUUCUUCCUGGAGCAUUGGGCACAUGUCUGUAGGAUGACCCAUACCCGUGCAUACCCCGCACACCUUGGCCUGAGAUGCACUUCCUACAGCAAGUUGCCUAACAAAAGAAGUCAAUUCAGUCAACUGCUGCUGGAUAGAGGAUGUCUCUACCUCGUUCACUUUGCGUACCGGGACAUCCUCCCUUGUACCAAAUUGCAGCGAAUUCUCUGUCAUCCCCUCUAUUAACUCCCUUGCUUCCCGAGGGGUUUUGUUCACCAGUGCCUCUCCGCUUGCAACAUCAAUUAUACUCCUAUCUCUGAAAAGGAGCCUCUCAUAAAAAUACAAUAUGAGCAACUGCUCACUUAUCUGGUGCUGGGGGCACUUGUUGCACAACUUCUUGAACCGCUCCCAGUACUCAUAGAGUGACUCCCCUGGGUGCUGAUUGAUCCCUCAAAUUUCUUUCCUUAAAAUUGCAACCCUGGAUGCAGGAAAAUAUUUUUCUAGAAAUUUUUUCUGCAACUGGUCCCACGUGGUAAUGCUACCUGGUGGCAGGUAGUAUAGUCAGUCCUUUGCAGAGUCUUUCAAUGAGAAAGGGAAUGCCCGCAUUUUUAUUUGCUCUUCUGUGAUUCUCGGGGGUUUCAUACUAUUGCACAUAAUAUCAAACUCCUGCAGAUGCUUAUACGGCUCCUCACCUGGUAAACCAUGAAAAGAAGGUAAAAGAUGAAUAAGGCCAUAUUUUAAUUCAAAUGGAGUGCUAUUAUCUAAAUUUGGGAAAGCAAUACACAAAGGCUGCUGAUUUAAGUUAAGAGCAGCCAACUCCCUUAAUGUUCGUGCAUUAGCCAUGGUGCCUUCCUCCUGGUCAGAGUCACUCGAAGUGUUACCAAACGAGUCUGUUGGUUCAACUUCUGACUCAGGUCCCUGAGAUGCAGCACUGGAGUGCUCAUCUCUGAGAUGUUUGGUUUCCUUCCUUGUUCUACGCGCGGUCUUCUCUACUUCAGGGUCAAAAACCAAAUCACCUGUACGAGAAAACCGAGGCAUACACUAGAAAAAAAAAUACUAGAAAAUUAGAAUAAAAAAUGAGUUUAAAAAGAAACAAAUAAUAACGCCAGUCCCCGGCAACGGCGUCAAAAAUUGACAGGGUGUCGAAACCUGUACAAUAAUAAAAUUAAACCUAAUUAUCAGUUGAAAUGACCAAACCCAAUUCCAAGUAUUGGAGCAGGGACUCUAGGUGUGCAAUGGGUUACUUGAUUCACCCUAUUCCCGAAGAGUUUGCUUGAUCCGAUAUACCUGAAUGGAAUGGUUAUUUCUUUUCACAAAUAAUUAUGAAUUCGUAGACAGGGCAAGUACGGUCGUAUCCACUGGGACUGGGUAUACUUGUUUCUUAAGAAAUUCAAAGCAACACAGGGGGUGAUUUUGUAGGAAUGAUAACAAUCAAAUAAAUUCAAAUAAGAAAAUAAAAAUGAAAAUAAAUAACUGACUAGAAAUUAAACAAUAAUUCACUGAACUCAGAGUAACAAUAAUUAAAGACCCAAAUCAAUUAAAACAAGGAAGCACUUAAAAAUAAAAUAAAGUAGGCAACUAAAAGUCAAAUGGCAAUUCACCAAAAUUAAGGUAAUAUUAAUUAAAAGUCUAGCCAAGAAAUGACUUUAGCAAUGGUUCACCUAAUUGAUCAUCGAAACAAAGGCAAUCCCAAUUGUUUAUCAAUAAAUAGGUUAUAAUUACCAAACAAGCGAUAGCAGUCAACCCCUCCUUACUGUGUCGAUGAUUAAGGUACGCCCGUUAAUCACUGCUCUAAUUAAGGAAUAAUUCUAGGUACGCCCGUAAGAUUUAAUUCUCCAAUUGCCUUGCGUAUUAGAGGAGCCCUAUUCUAAUCAAAUAACGCACUACCAGGGUUAUUUUAGAUUAGCCCGCGUAUCCCCCUGACACGAAUCUAAUCGUGCCAGUUGUCACUAUUUCAGGACAAUUAAACAAUUACGGAUUUAAUGUCUUAAUUGACAGUAGGUUACCAAAUCAAUUAAUUAUCUGGAUCCAAGACAAUCAAUUAAUUAAAUAACCAUAAGCAUAGCAAACAAGAAAUAUGAAAGGCGAAUGAAAGUUACAGGUAACAAUUGAGUCUCUUAAUUGUUUCUAGCAUCCGUAGAGCAAAGCUACUCAAAAGGUACAAGGAGGAAAGUCAAAGUAGAUAGCCUCCAAUUCUCCUGACAUGCGUGAGAACAAGCAAAAAGGAAUUCUAAAGGAAGUAGCUAAUGAAAUGCUAAGCUAGUCCUCAUUGAGUUUGUUUGGAUAAGAGUUUAUUUGGAUGAUUUAUUUGAGAUAUUUACUGUAGCACUUUUUGUGAUAUGAUGUAUGUGAGAUAAAAAGGUGAUUGGGAUUUGUGAGAAUAAAUUUUGCAAACCAAAUUAUCUUUGUCCAAACAAACUCAUUGUCUUUCUCCCAGCCGUGGAGAAUGCUUACAAAAGGCUCGGAGGAAAAAGUCAAAAAGUGCGGCUCUCCAGCCCCUGCUCUCUUCCUUCUCUUUUUUUUCUCCUAAUUCCCCGCGGCACCUCAGCAGAAUGAAGCCCUUCCAGCCGUCAUUCCCUUGCGAAAUUUACCAAAAUGGACGUAACAUCUUCUUUUCCAAAAAUAUCCCUGGGUCAAUCUCUAUCAUCGGGACUCUUUUUCUACCAAAUGUGCACCUGUCAUCAUAUUUUCGUUCUACUCCCUGAAAUAAGUGCAAAUUACGAAAAGUAAAUAGAAUCUACUAAUUAAUCCACAUCAGGUCAGGUAUUAGGGGAAAUUAAUAAUAAAAUAAAUAGAUAAAUUGCAACCUAUCACUUGUUCAAAUAAUUAAAUUGCGAGCACAAUUUCCAGAUUACCCAAUAAAGAAAAUUCGUCUAGAUAAUGCUGGUGAAUAUUCGUCACAUGCUUUUGACGAUUAUUGUAUGUCUAUUGGAAUAACUGUUAAACAUCCUGUAACUUAUGUUCACACACAAAAUGGCCUAACUGAAUCAUUCAUUAAACGGUUACAAUUAAUCGCUAGACCAUUGUUGAUGAUAUCUAAAACUUCCUUCAUCUGCUUGGGGACAUACUAUUUUACAUGCAGCAACACUUGUGAGACUUAGGCCAACAAGUUAUCAUACUUAUUCUUCCCUACAAUUAACUUUUGGUUAUGAACCCAAUAUUUUUCAUUUACGAAUAUUUGGUUGUGCGGUAUAUGUUCCAAUUGCACCACCCCAACGUAGUAAAUUGGGCCCCCAAAGAAGAUUAGGGAUAUAUGUCGGAUAUGAAUCACCUUCAAUCAUUAAAUAUAUGGAACCAUUAACAGGUGAUUUAUUUACUGCGAGAUUUGCAGAUUGCCAUUUUGAUGAAUCACAUUUUCCGACAUUAGGGGGAAAUAAAAAUCAACCGAAAAAGGAAAUCACUUGGAAAAUAUCAUUGAAUUUUCUUGAUUCUCGUACUAAAGAAUGUGAAUUAAAAGUUCAAAAGUUUAUACAUUUGUAAAAAAAUUACAAAUCAAUUACCGGAUGCAUUUAAUGACUCCAGAAGAGUUAUUAAAUCACAUAUUCUUGCUGAAAAUGCUCCGAUUAAAAUCGAUAUCCCUGAAGGUCAAAUUACAAGUGCUAAUAAGUCUAAAGCACGCCUAAAGCGUGGGAGACCUCUUGGUUUCAAAGAUAAAAAUUCUUGAAAAAAAAAAGAGAAGUAGAUGAAUCAAUAAUUAGUGACAAAAUUCAACAUCCUGAAGAGGUCGCUCCUAAAGAACCAAUUCUUGAAGAAAAUGAAAUUAUAGAAAACUCAAUAAAUUUUGUCACUUUAAGAAAAAGUUGGAACCGAAAAGAAAUAAUUAUUGAUAAUAUUUUUGCAUAUAACAUAGCACUUGAUAUUAUGGCAGAGGAUGAGGAUUAUGAGCCUAAAUCGGUUGAUGAAUGUCGACGUAGAAAUGAUUGGCCAAAAUGAAAAGAUGCGAUCCAAUCUGAAUUGGACUCACUGGCUAAAAGGAAAGUUUUUGGACCUGUAUUCCAAACACCUGAAGGUGUAAAGCCAGUAGGAUAUAAAUGAGUAUUUGUGAGAAAAAGAAAUGAGAAAAAUAAAAUUAUGAAGUAUAAAACAAGACUUGUAGUCCAAGAAUUUUCACAAAGGUUUGGAUUUGAUUAUAAUGAAACGUAUUCACCUGUAGUGGAUGCUAUCACAUUUAGAUAUCUUAUGAGUUUUGCAGUACAUAAAAAAUUAGAUAUGCGUCUAAUAGACGUUGUUACUGCAUAUUUAUAUGAAAAUUUUGAAAAUGAUAUUUAUAUGAGAAUCCCUGAAGGAUUCAACAUGCCUGAAGUAUGCAAAUCAACUCCUAAAGAUAUUUAUUCUAUUAAAUUACAAAGGUCUUUGUAUGGGUUCAAACAAUCUGGACGUAUGUAGUAUAACCGCCUCAAUGAAUGUCUAACUAAAGAAGGUUAUACCAAUGAUCUAAUAUGUCCAUGUGUUUUUAUCAAGAAAAAUGGAUCAAAUUUUGUGAUAAUUGCGGUAUAUGUUGAUGAUUUAAAUUUAAUUGGAACUCCUGAAGAGAUUCAAAAUAGUGUUGAAUAUUUGAUAAAAGAAUUUGAGAUAAAAAAUUUUGGACAGACAAAAUUCUGGCUUGAUUUACAAAUUGAGCAUUUGAAAGGUGAAAUUUUUGUUCACCAAACUGCUUAUACCCAAAAGGUAUUAAAACGAUUUUAUAUGGAUAAAGCACAUAGAUUAAGUACCCCAAUGAUCGUCAGAUCAUUAGAUCCUAAUAAGAAUCCUUUUAGAUCACGAGAGAAAAAUGAAGAGAUACUUGGUCCUGAAGUACCAUAUCUCAGUGCAAUUGGUGUACUAAUGUAUCUUGCUAAUUGUACAACACCUGAUAUAUCAUUUGCAGUGAAUUUAUUAGCAAGAUUUAGUUCCUCACCCACAAGACGACAUUGGAAUAGUAUUACACAUAUUUUUCGCUAUCUCCAAGGAACAAUUGAUUUUGAUUUAUUUUAUUCAAAUAAAUUCAAACCUGAAUUGGUUGGUUAUACUGAUGCUGGGAAUUUAUCUAACCCGCAUAAAACAAGAUCUCAGACUAGUUAUUUAUUUACAUAUAGAGGCACAGCCAUUUCUUGGCGAUCUACAAAGCAAUCACUAACCGCCACUUCAUCGAAUCAUGCUGAAAUAAUAGUAAUUCAUGAAGUCAGUCGAGAAUGUGUUUGGUUAAGAUCAAUGACCCACUAUAUUCGAAAGAGUUGUGAGUUAUUCUCCGAAAAAGAAAAUCCUCCAACUACAUUAUAUGAAGAUAAUGCAACUUGUAUUGCUCAAUUGAAAGGAGAUAGGACAGAACACAUUUCACCAAAAUUCUUUUUUACUCAUAAUUUGUAAAAGAAUGGUGAAAUUAAUGUGCAACAAAUCCGAUCAGAUAAUAAUUUGACAGAUUUAUUUAUCAAGACAUUACCAACUGCGACAUUUGAGAAAUUGAUGAAGAGUAUUGGAAUGCGACAAUUAAAAGAUCUCAAAUGACGUUUGCAUCAGGGGGAGAAAUUAUUACACAAGAAUAAUGUACUCUUUUUUCUUCACUAGGGUUUUUGGUUCCACUGGAUUUUUUCCUAAUAAGGUUUUAACGAGGCAUAUUUUUUGUGUAAUGGACAUCCAAGGGGGAGUGUUAUGAAAUAACAAAAAAAAUAUGGAUGUCCCUUUGUAUUCCCAAGGGAAUUAAUUCAUGAUUUUAUGGUUACAUUAUGUAUAGAAGUUACAAUCCAUAAAUCUAUUCAUGUAGUGGAAAAACCGUUUUAUAAGUUUCUUCAUAUUAUUGUAGUAGUGGGUGUUUAAUAUGAUUUAUGUAUCUUUGAUCUUGUAAUACCUAUAUAUAGAGGUACAUUAACACCCUUUGGGAGCACUUUUGUAUUUUGUUGGAAUACAAGAAUAUCACUCUCCAUUUCUCUACUUCUUUCUCCAAUAUUUCACUUGAUAUUAUAGUAGCUUAUUUUAUUAGUUUUAUAACAAAAAACCCUUUCUUAAAUAUUUUUUCUUGCGAAGUCAAUAAGUAUAAUAUGGCGCGGUUUUGAUCACUUAGGAUUCGUUUGGUUCACGGACCAAAUAAAAUGGGAUGACUCAUGCUCGAAUUAUUAAUCCUGAAUUGAGUCAUUUUCAAAUAAAUAAUAUAAGUUAUCUAGUGUUUGAUUGGUUAUAAAUUGGACAGGAUAUGUUGGGAAAUAAUCUUAUCCCGUGUUUGGUUGGAAAUUAGAUGAGAAAAGAUUACCAUUUUAAUGACCAAAGUACCCCUUAAUUUGUAGAAUUCUUUUUAAUAAAAUAAUUUAAUAUUUUUAAAAUAUUAAUAAUUUAUUAUUAAAAAAGUAAUUUAAUAAAAAAUUUCAUAUUUAUAACUUUUAUUAAAAUAGAGUAGUUUGAAACUUUAGAAUUAUAAAGUAAAUCAUGCAUUUUAAUAUAUAAAAAUUUACAUUCACUCAAACUCAACCCAUUCGGGUUCUUAAAAAUACAUUUUUGACCAAGUUUUUGAAUCUAAAUUUGAAAUUCAAUUAAAUAAUGGGCUGAGCUUUGCUAAGGUAGGGUUAAAUCGAUUAAAACCUAACCCAUUUAAGAGUUUUAAAUGAGCGAACUCAAUCUAAUAUAGAAGAUUUUUCUUUGGACCGAGUUUGAGUUUAUUGAAGUCCUCAUUCACAAAGGCCAAUUGAUAAGGUUAUAUAUUUAUAUAGAAUUUGGUUUAGAAAAUAAGCUUAGUAAGGAUAAUUUAGUCCAAGGGCAAUAUAGUCCUUCUAUUAUGAUGUUAGUAUGGCAAAUUAGUCAAAAAUUUUAAAUUAAUUAAUAGGGGUAAAUUAGUCAAAAUUUUAAAAUAAUAAAUAGGAGCAAAUUAGUCAAAAAAUUAUUCGUGCUCCGAGUCUUGAUUAUUCCUCAACUAGAUAAAAGGAUUUAGCCUUGCCGCAUAAUCACAAAGCAAUUGAAGGCUUUCAAUGGAAUAGAAUUUAGUUGAUGGAAGAGGAAAAAGCCAUGAAUCUUUGACUAAUGUUAGGAAGAAGAAAAGAAAGACAAAAGUUUCCAAGCUAAAAGACCCAGCCCUAGUCUAUUCCUGUUUUCUUUUAAAGCUCCGCCGCCGUCCUCUAGCUAGCCGAAUUAGAGGUUGUUUCUCAAACGAAUUGCUUCCUUAUUUCCCUCCUUGAAUUGCUGCCAAAAGUCGUCUUUGACUUUGUUUUCUUAUUCCCGCAAGUUCAGAAUUUGUUCCCAAAGAAAGGCGGUAGUUCCACGGAUAGGACCCGUGGUCCGUCUUUUUCACGCAACUCUGUAUUAUUUGGCGUGGGCAAGCUAUAGAAUGUCUAGUCUUCUGAAAUUUGCCUCUUCUUGUCACUUUUAACACCACUCGUCUGCCAAUAACACAAAUACCAAAUCUGAGCAGAAAUCCAGUGUCUUGCACAAUAAAUGACCAAAAUUAAGAUCAAAUACCAACGAAUAAAACACACAAUUAUACUGACAGUAGACAUUUUGUGGCAGAUAUGAAAAUCUAGAAACCGCUUUCAGCUCAAGAAGGAAAGGAAAUGUCCAAGAACAAUGGCAAGCAAAGCAGUGCAAGAAUGGCAAGAAUAGAGUAGUGCAAAGAGGGGAAGAUGGGGAAACAUGGAAAGAUAAGGAGAAUUCUGAGGUUGAGGUCAAGUGGAAACCACCUACAAAUGGUUUCAUUAUGUUAAACAUUGAUGCAACUUUGGAUAAGAAACAAGAGAAGGCUGGUUGGGGAAUUGUAACAAGGAAUGAACAUGGAGAAGUAGUAUGCACUUAAGCUGGAAAUGAAAGCAAGAACAGUAAGGUUGAGAUUGAAGAAGCGUUGCAAUCAGAACUGCAUUGACGAAGGGCAAUUAGGAAGGUUGGGGGAAAGUUAUAGUCCAAUCAGAUUGCACAAAUAUGGUGGACAGGAUUGCAGAGAGUGGUACACUUGAUCUUGUGAUAGGAACAAUAGUUGAGGACAUAUUUAGUUUUAUACAAAGUUUCAAUAAAUGACAUCUUUCCUUUAUCAAGAGGGAAGGUAACUAUAUUAGUCAUCAUUUAGCAAAAUUAGCCAUAAACCUGGUUAAGGAAGUCUGUUAAAGGGAUUCUUUCCCUCCCUGGUUAAUCAACUUAGCCAGAAAUGAAGUAGGAGCAAUUGCUCCAUCCUUGUAAUCCCUUGUGUUUGAAAUACAAAGCUAUUAUUGUUUGGCAAAAAGAAAAACUUAGUUAACUCAAUUAAUUGAAAAAUUUAUGUCUAUAGUUAACAAUAGAACAUUUUGAAAGACUACAUACAACCUAGAUUCUUUGUUGCAUUCAGAGAAAGAAAAGGUCCAACCCCCAUUAAUAUACCAUGUGUUUUAGUCAUUUUUUAUUGAAAAAGAAAAAGAAAAAGAAAGCCAUAUUGAAGGUGACAGAUUGUGAUAUUACUAGGCUAUGGAAGUUGGCAUUCAGCAACGUGUUUGCAUUAAGAAUAGGAUAAAUUACCUUUUACUUCCGUGGUUUGGUGUUUUAUGACAUAACUUCCCUAUGACUUAAAAAUUUAUAUAUACUCUUCUCAUGAUUUGGGUUAAUGUGUCACUAUUAGUUUUUUGUCCAAACAAACAGCCAAUAAUAAAAAACAAAUUUAAACUAAUAAAAAGAUAAAUUUACUCUUUCAUUACUUCUUUUUUUCGUCUAAACAUAAAAAAAGAAGAAAUUAAAAUAAAAAAUAGAUAAUAAGAACUAGAAAAUAUCAUUAAAAUUUUGGUUUAAAAACAUAUAAUGAUAUUUGUGGUCAAAAAAGGUUUGAUAUUUUUUGUUUCUUAUUUAUUUAUUUUAUGUUCCUAUUCCAUCUUUUUGGUUUCUUAUUUAUUUUUUUAUUUCCCUUUCAUCUCUUUGGUAUUUGGAGAAAAUUAAGAUUUUAUAGGUUAAAGUAUAGAUUUUCAAAAUCAUCUAUUCUCUUCCCCAAAAAAAGAGAGAGAGAGUGAGAGAAAGAAAAGGAAAAAAGGGAAAAAAAAAGUAAAAGGAUGAACUGUCAAUUUAUUAGUUGACUUUGAUAUUUUAUUAUUGAUCAUUAAUUUUAACAAAAAAACUAGGAUAAAUUAUAUUUUACCCCCCUGUGGUUUACCCUUUUUUUACAUAACCCCCCUAUGGUUUCAAAAGCUAUACAUAACCCCCUCAUGGUUUGGAUUAAAGUGUCAAAGUAACGGAAAUAGUCCCUCGUAACGGAACUUCUAAAAAUGUCGAAAUUACCCUUAUAAAUACAUGAUACAUUAACCCCCUAUGAUUUUUAUAUUUUACCAUAUAACCCCCUUAUGGUUUAAUACUUUACCAUAUAACCCCCUUAUGAUUUUCAAAAUAUACACAUAACCCCCCUUGGUUAAUACAUAAAUUUCAGCCUUACAUAAGGGUAUUUUUGACAUUUUAGAUGACGCCGUUACGAGUGACUAUUUUCGUUACUUUGACACUUUAAUCCAAACCAUAAGGGGGUUAUGUAUAGCUUUUGAAACCAUAGAGGGGUUAUGUGAAAAAACGCUAAAUCACAGGGGGGUAAAGUGGAAUUUGCCCAAAAAACUAAUAGUAACACUUCAACCUAAACUAUGAGAAAAUUAUAUAUAAAUUUUUUGAUCAUAAGGGGGUUGCAUGGUAAAAUACCAUACCACACCACGGGGAAGGGGAUAAUAGGUAAUUUUAUCCUUAAAAAUAUAGUAGUGGUUAAGCAUACAGAACAAGGAUAUGACUCCGCAGCUAUAUUCAUGUAAUCUAAAUUUUGGCUGGGAUAUGAGAAUUCACAUUCACUUUCACACUUUGUAUUUAUGGUUACUGGGAUACCAGGAAAUAGCAGAACAAUCCCUCCAUUGAUUCAUUUACUUGGUCUGACAUAUGCUCUAUUUAUAGGUUCAAAGAAUCUGCAGGGAGUUUGGCACUGCUUCAGGGGUCAGAAACAUGGAUAGACAAUUAUGACACAAGAUUUGAGUCUGGUUGCCAAAAUUUCACAAGAAAAGGUUCAUUUGGCAUCUGAUCUUUUAAAACCAGUCCAUGAGAUUUGCAUUAUAAACACAUAAUUCAGUAAUCUGUGAGAUACUGAGACGGCCUCCGAAUAAACCAAAAGCUGUGUCCACAAGAUGCUUAAUAGAAAAACAAAAUGCCAGAACAGGAUAGGCUAGCUCCAGGUAGCAUUACAUAGAAGAGUUUCAAACAGAAUUUGAUGGACUAAUAAUGACACAAUCUCAGCAGCUUCAGCAACCUGUUAAGAACAUUGAACAAACAUCAUUAGAUACGUUGAAAUGAAAAAGAUAAACAAAAAAAGAGAAGAAAAAUGUCACCACAAUAAAUAGUAGAACAACUAGAAACUGGUUUUCCACUUCUCAAUGCUGCUCUGCACAUAGUAUCACCACUACUCUACAUACAAUCUUCUUCUCGUUUGGAAUAAAGUAGGGUUCUCAACCAUUAUCUCCAACAUAAAUCAGACCAGUAAAUCCAUUUUCCUUUUCCUGGUCCAAGAACUUCCACAAGAAAAAGACUUCAGGCCUCCAAAUGUGUAUUUAUAUGCUCUAUGGUGAACAAGUUCCUGCUACAUGACAAUUAAAGACGAAAUUUGUCAUCCUAAACGCAGCAAUUGUUUAACACUAAAACAAAUGCAAUUUGCUGUAACAGAGUGGAAAACUAUGUUACUCGGGCUCGGGCAUGAGGGUCAGAUAUGGGUAUGUGUCUAAGUGUCUAGUUCUUUAAUCAUCUAAAAACAGGAUAAAGGGGCACUUCUAAAGAGUCGGAUACUGGUACUUAGGUAUGAUGGACAUUCUAGGAAAUAUACAAAUUAUGUACAUCGAUUGUUGUUUACUUAUAUACGAGCAGGGCAAUUUUCCUUGGGAGCUUGUUAGAUUUCAUUUAUACAAGGGAAAUUCAGAAUUCUAGAUAGGUCUUCUUUCUCUCUAACAUGAAAGUCCUAAAGUUUUCCACUUCACUUUACCUCUCUCGUCCCCCUUCACCAUCAACAUCCACUGACAAAAAAGAGACCAGUACCAGUGUCAAGUUAUGUCGACACGGGUACAUUGGGGUACAACAAAGAGCCGGAGUAACAUAGGUGGAAAGGUGAUUUUCAGGUAGCUAAUCUGUUAGUGUCACCAGUUUGACAAGCUUAUACCCAUUAUGGCAACAAUGGCUUUCACCCUGACAAAAUUAUACAUAACUUGAUGACUAUGUCUUGGAAAAUCUUUUGCAUUGCUCAGGCUUCCAAGAAAGAUAGAUGGUGAGAGACUGAGAGUGAUAGCUGGAAAUUUCAAUCACUUAAUAAAGCUCACUUCUCUCUUCCUUUCUACCUGGCACAUUAGAAUCAACUUUCCAUUCCAUGGAACUGGUCAUGAAAAAGUUAAUGUGUGUUAGGAACCAAAUAUACCCCUCAUCUCAACACACAUUAUUUAUAUCUACAGCCAAGCCCCACAAAAACUUUGGUUUUAAGAGAACAGAAAGCAAACUCCUACAAAAACAGUUUCAAGAUUAUAAUCGUGUUUGAAGUUACUGAUGACAAGAAUGAUAAAAUCCAGCUACAGCUUUGCCGAGUAAUGUCAUCAGAAAAACCACUUCUAAUAGGCUUGAGUAUCAUUCUUCAAUGCAAGUAUAGAUACCAAACCAGUAACAUGCCAACUUGCACUCACAGCAGUUUUGUUACCAGCAGUUAGCCAGUAGGGUUUCAGACUUCAAUCACAGAAUGAGAGCUGCGAAAACACUAUGCAAUGAAAGUUGCUAAUAAGCAACUGUUAAGAAUUGAACUUUGUUCCAACCUCGAAAGGAAAAGAUAUCAGAAACUAUAAUACUCAACAACUGUUAUUUGCCUAUAUCUCUGUCUGCCCCUAACUCAAGCAUACUUCCCAUUCAACUGUAGUUCAAACUCAAUAAAAGCCCAGAUUCCCAGGACUACAGCUUAUUGUUAAAUGUGAGUAUUAUCCUCAGCUAUCUUUUCUCUGGAAAAGCUGUUUAAUCAGAUUCUUUCCUAGCUGGGGAUACAAUGUAUCUCUACAUGCCCCUUGGAAGAGAGCUUUUGGCUACAAACCUCAAUAGGCCACAAUUGUUUUCCGGCUUAGCUCCACUACAUGGAUAAUUUCCUAUUUCUUUUUUUUUUUCAAGUCCUUUUGCCCAGUAUCAAGUGAAAAAUGAGGCUCAUACAAGCAAUGAAAGCUGUAACUGGGCAAAUCUUGGUGGUAUUGACCAGAACCAACUACUAAAGCACCCCAAAUCCCAUGGUUUUUUCUUCAUGCGAGCAGUUGCACUUAUAGCCAGUUUGUCACACAUCACAUAGUCUACUCACUUAAUACAACUAAAAAGCAGUCACGAAACACAACUGCUCUUAGUAAAAAAAGAAGCCAUCCAUUUAGCUUGAUGAUUUCAUAAGGUUCAGACUGAUGCUUUGACAGAAUUUGGUAAACAUCAGGUACAAAUGAAAAUACCUAGACAGAAACCUGAUGUACUGCAGGUGAACAUUUAUUAUCUAGUACAAAGGCACUACAUUUGCAAUCUUUUCCAUUUCUCCAUUACAACAGAAUGAUUAGCUUCAAUACUUCUGAGGUACAAAAUUAUCAAAAUUUGUUCAGUUGACAACAGAAAACUAAUCAGGCCAUUAUAAUUAGCACAUCUAGAAACAACUUUGGGAGUUAGACGUAAUAUCAAUGAACAUUCAAAGGUAUCAAAAAGCUAAACACAGAUCCACACAAAGCAAAGGAACUAAAAAGUUCUCUCGCUGAGUAUGUCUGAGCUGCAACCGAGCAAAUACAUCCUAAAACAAGUUCAUAAACAUUGUCUCCAAAGUGGCACUAUUCUUUGCCUACCAACUGAAGCAAAUCUCCAACCAACAAAAGUGAGGUACAAAAGAAGGAUAUAAGCUUUAUCACAAAGAACCACAUAAAUGAGCAAUGCAACACUCUUGAGUCUUGACAGAUACAGAAAUUCACUGAGAAACUCAUAAACUUGAAUUAAACCACAUUCGAUUGAAGAAAACGUAAAUAACCAAUUACAAAACUAAAACAAGAAAAAUCCUUGACUAAUACUCCCUCUGUUCCAUUGGCACUGUCAUAUUUUCCUAUUUGUAACUUACAAAAAUUGGCUAACACAGUUGCAUUCAAUUCCUCCAUUUACCGUUCAAACACUCCCUAAAAGUCCAAUGCAUGUGUCUUUUCAUGAGCCCACAGAUUAUUACCAACGAAACUAAGACAACUUCUUUUGUAGUACGCGCUAGUUGGCAUUUAGAAACUAAAGCCAUCAAGUGUUCUGAUGCACGCGCUAGUUGGCAAUCAUAUCUGCGAUUGGACAAACAUAUUGGCUCCACGAUUCUUUAUGUCUUAAUACAACACUUAAAGCUCUUCAAUUUUCAAAUUCUAUCCACUCUUCAUAAAAAUUACAAUUCCCGAAGUGCAAUAAAUUUUUGGGAUGAAGCGAGUAAUUCUCAAUAGCAGACCAAAACUGUCAUUAAAUUGUCUAUUAUACGAGUCAUUAGCUCAUAAAUUGCAAGCACUUCAACCAAAAAUUACAUAUCAAUGACAAAAAACCCCAUUCAGAGAUAACCUUAAGACUGUCAAAACAUAGAGAUUAUAAAUCCUAAAGACUGUCAAUUUAAAAAACUAAAGCAAACCCACUUAACAAAACCUAUUCAACCGUCACCCAAGAAAACAAAAUUUUAUGUACUUUCCCUAAGAUUAAACCAAAUAAAACUUGAAACCCAGAAAAAUGUCAAAAAGCCUCCAAAAAAAUCCCAGGUAAAAUCAUCCAAAAUAGAACUCAAAGAAAAAACUAAAAAAUAAUUACCUUGUUUUUGUUGGGCUUCGGCUUCCCGGAUCUUCUGCAUCCGUUCCAUGACAAGCUCGUACUCGCACUUCUUACCUGCUUGAUUGAUUAACAAAUUGAUAAGACCGAAACAAGUAAUCUAUGUGCAUAUGCCGCUCAUAUGCUCUGCCUAAUCAAUUAUAAAUGUAAACAAAAUUCACCGCUCGAGUUGAAGCAAAAAUCAAGAGUCGGCCUUGUUUGAAUUCCCAUUUCUUCCCAAAAAAUUUUACACUUUGCGUUAAUGCGUCUUUCAAUCACUUUUUUUUACCUCAUGUGUAUCGUAUAGUUACAAUCUAUUUUUUCACAAAAACUCCAGAAAAUAGUACUCCUCCGUCCCACUUUAAUAGUUCUGUUUCUUUUUUCGCACAGUUUAAGAAAGAGUAGUUAACUUUGUUGAAAAAGUAAAUUUAGAUUGCUAUUUUCCUAAAAUACCCUCACAUUAAAUAGAGUACAACUUUAUGGGAACUUGAAUUGAUGGUAAAAAAAGAAUCAACUCUCAUUAAAUGGGGUAGAUUUAUAGCAACAACAACUUGUAUUGAAUAAGGGUAUUUUAGGAAAAUAAAAAUACAAUUACAUUUUUUAAUUAAAAAAUGGACUGUAAUUUGGGACAGAUAAAAAAGAAAUACAGGACUAUCAAAGUGGGACGGAGAGAGUAGUAUCUAUUUGCGAUCUCAAAAGCAGCAAUUAAAAUGACUGCUGCACUGCCCCACUCACAUCGGUUGAGCUGAAGGAACUACAAUUACACAGUCAAAAUGACUGAAGCUCUAAUAGAAAGGCCGCCAGAGUUGCUCCAAAUUAACCGGUCCAUAUCCGCUGCUAGUACAGCAAUGAUACUGAAAGAUGAAGUUGCAAUCUUGCUGCUGCUGCUGCUAGUCUUCUCAUUGAAAUUAAUGUCUUAGUAUCCACAGAAUUUUCUCAAGUACCCCACAGCUUUCUCUUCACAGACUCGACCACAAUUACCAUGGUCCCCCCAGCUCUCUAUUGGACUCUUUUCUCAUGGCAGCCGGCUGCCAACCAGGGUGAUAGACUCAUAAAGCCGAGAAUCUUUUUCUAUUUUGCUAACUUCCAAGAAAUAAUUUCAAGCAGGAAUUUGUCCCUUUCCUUACCUGCCUCCAAAAAAAAUUAUAGAAAUUAUUCUUUGGAGUAUGGGAGUAUAGUAUAAUUUGAAUCAGUCUAAAGACUUGACUUUUCCGACUUGGCAAGUCCACGCAGGAGUUUACAGUGACGACGGAGCCAUCCUCACUUCAUUUUCCAAGGACCAAUAAUUCCUCUCGCCUCAUCCUGCUAAUCCUACACCAGCUUUAAACCGAUCACCUCCAUCGAUGUAGGAGUAAUCUUUGUGUUUUGCGGUACCCUCUUAAUUUUGCUCCAAUGUUUACUCUUCUUGUAUACCUCUCCUUUCUCUUCAAUCUCUUGUUCAUCAUCACUUCCAGCGAUACUCCGCCUUACAGCCCCACAGAUUACAUCCUGAUCAACUGCGGAUCAUCCUCAAACGCAACCUCAACCGAUGGCCGAAACUGGUACGGCGACGCCGGCUCAAAAUUCUCCCCUAACGACAUGGCGAAUAUAUCAUCAGCUGUCACAGCCACCGAGCAAGACUCUUCCGUCUCCGGAGCCCCUUAUUUAACUGCCCGUAUCAUUCGUUCUAAUUUCUCCUAUACCUUCCCUGUCUCCCCCGGAAAAAAGUUCGUCCGCCUUUACUUCUACCCGGCCUCCUACUCCAGCGACUUCAACGCAACUGAAUCUUUCUUCGCUGUCAUGGCUAAUAACUACACCCUUCUGAGCAACUUUAGCGCAUUUUUAACAGUUUCCGCCGGGGGAUUCUCACCUGCCUACGUCGUUAAAGAAUUCAUCAUUAAUGUUGAGGCUAUGAAUCAAUUCCUCAACGUUACCUUUUUGCCCUCUACGCAGUCCUACGCGUUCAUUAAUGGAAUUGAAGUUGUUUCAACCCCGGACGGACUCUACAUGGGCAAUAAUCCCCUCAAAAACGUGAAUGAUCCCAACAUUCAGUUCGAGCUUGAUCAGAACGACACUGCCUUCGAAGCUCUUUACAGGCUUAACGUCGGAGGAAAAGAUGUUUCUGCAUUAGCUGAUAGUGGGAUGUUCCGAGGAUGGGUUCCCGAUGACAAAUUCAUCUGGAGCGUAGAUCAAGGGAAUCCAUUGAGCAAUAAUGAAAUUGCUGUCAACUACACUCUGCAAACCCCAAAUUACACUGCGCCAGCGAUAGUUUAUGCUACCGCAAGGGCGAUGGGCAACUUUAGCACCCGCUUCAACUUGAGCUGGAUGUUCUCUGUUGAUUCUGGAUUUGAUUAUCUCCUGAGGUUGCAUUUUUGCGAGAUUAACCCUGAUUUGAUUACACAAGAGAACCAACGGGUGUUCAGGAUAUUCAUCAGUAACAAAACAGCUGAGGAAGAGGCUGAUAUUAUAGCUUGGACCGGCGGCCCCGGAAUCCCGGUUUUCAGAGACUACGUCGUGCUCGUUCCACACCCACCGGAUGGUCGCCCGAGCAAGCAAGACUUGUUUCUUGCUCUGCACCCAAAUCUCGACGUCAAGCCGAAGUAUGCUGAUGCAAUCUUGAAUGGUUUAGAAUUGUUCAAAUUGAACAACAGCGACGGCAGUCUUGCCGGGACCAAUCCUGAUCCGCCGGCGGAUCCCAAUUCCCGGAUGCCAAACAGCAAGCCACCGAAAAAGGGGAGAGGUGUAAAAUCUCGGGUACUUUUUCCUAUCGUGGGAGGGGUGGUCGGAGGGGCUGCCUUGGUUUUGAUCAUCGGUUUCUUGAUUUCCCGGCGGCUAAGGAGACGGGUAAAAGAUUUUGACCAGAAAAGUGCUUCAAAGUCAUCCGGGGUCCAACUUUCAACCACGUCCAGGUCAUCAAAGGCAACAAGUGCAUCGAGGUCUUCGUCACUGCCGCUGGAUCUUUGCCGGAGAUUUUCCCUGGAGGAGAUCAUCUUUGCUACGGCCAACUUCGAUGCUAACUUUGUGAUCGGAACCGGAGGAUUCGGAAACGUGUACAAAGGGUACAUCGACAAUAGUCUAAUCACAGUUGCUAUUAAGCGAUUAAAUCCUUCGUCAAGUCAAGGGGUCCGCGAAUUUCGAACCGAGAUCGAGAUGCUGUCGAAUCUAAGGCAUCUUCAUCUGGUAUCCCUGAUAGGUUACUGUGACGAGAAGGGAGAGAUGAUCUUGGUUUAUGAUUACAUGGCCAAUGGCACCCUCCGCGACCACCUCUACAAAACAGAUAAUCCACCCCUCCCGUGGAAGCAACGGCUUCAGAUUUGCCUCGGCGCAGCCAGAGGGUUGCAUUAUCUCCACACCGGCGCCAAGCACAGCAUCAUCCACCGGGACGUCAAGUCAACCAACAUAUUGCUGGACGAGAAAUGGGUGGCUAAGGUUUCGGAUUUCGGUCUGUCCAAGCUAGGCCCCAGCGGUGGAAUCCACAGCCAUGUCAGCACGCAGGUGAAGGGGAGUUUCGGCUACGUAGAUCCGGAGUAUUACAAGAGACAGCAGUUGACGGAGAAGUCGGACGUGUACUCGUUCGGGGUGGUUUUGCUCGAAGUGCUGUGUGGGCGGGGAGCCAUUAUUCCCAACUUGCCCAAGGAGCAGGUGAAUUUGGCGGAGUGGGGCAAGAGGUAUUACGCAAAAGGGAUCAUCCACCAAACUGUAGACCCUCACAUGAAGGGCGAGAUUGCUCCUGAGUGUUUGAGGAGCUUUGCUGAAACAGCGAUCAACUGUUUGAAAGAUCAGGGGAUUGAACGACCCGGAAUGAAUGAUGUAGUUUGGAGCCUCGAAUUCGCGUUGCAGCUUCAGGAGGCGGCUGAAAAUAAGAGCGGUCGACGUCCAUUUGCUUUCCGUAUGCAUGGGUUGGGAAGAGAUGAGCAAGCUACGACUGAGGAUGAUGAGGAUGUGUUCUCAGACUCGGGAGUUGAGAAAGAUUCUGCCGCCCUGAUGAAGAGCCGUAGUAUUACGACCGGGACAUUCACGGCCAGUAGUGACAUGUUAAAGUCUGAUAAUGUUUUCUCCGAGAUCAUGAAUCCCACCGGCAGGUGAGGAUUGUAAUCAACAGAUUAAACCUCCAAAAAUGGACGUGGGAUAUUCAUGUCUCGGGAGUCUAGCGUGCUUUGUCCUUGUGCUAUUUUUUUUUUUUUUGGUCUGUAUUGGGCAACCUAUUUGUAAUGCCAAGAUAGUAUAUUUUUGGAAAUGUAAUAUUAAUUAAGGAAAGUAAAUAAAUAUUGGGAGUGUUUUUGAAAAUGUAAAAUCGAUUUAAAAAAGUAAAUAAAUAUGAUAGAAGGUUAGUAAGACUAGAUGGGAAAAGUAUUUAUUAAAUGCAAGGGAAGGUGAUAAUUC
rnacentral:lncRNA from 1 species